rnacentral:lncRNA from 1 species
AAAGAAGAUCAGCUGGGUAAUAGGAAGAGAAGAAGGCGCUAAGUUUCUGAAUGCAUAUUGGGCUGAUCUUCAUGGCCUUAUAUACAAUACUCUGCCACCUGAAAUAUUUUUAUGGGGUCACCAAUACCUCUCUUUCUGUAUUUCUGAAGACAAAUUAACUGUCAAAGUUAGAGCUAAGGAUCUUCAGACUGCUGAAAUAAUCGAGAUAGUAGGAGAUUUGCUCGUUGGAGCAGAUGGGAUCCUCUCAUCAAUUGGUCGGAGCAUUCUACCUGACUUCAAAUUGAGGUUUGUGCUUGCUUGUGAAUAUCAAUAAAAGUAAUUAAUUUUUGAGUAUUUUGUUUCUUAAAUUUCAAUGUGUUUUUAAUAGGUACGCAGGAUACUGUGCGUGGAGAGGUGUUUUUAAUUUUUCAGAAAGCAAUUCAGAAACCAUCUUAGGCUUUCGAAAAUCGUAUCCUGAUAUUGGGAAAUGCCUUUACAUUAAUAUUGGUUCAGGAUCUCACAUCAUAGUCACUGAGCUUAAGAAAGAGAAGCUCAAUUGGGUUUGGUAUGUCAAUCAACCUGAGCCCGAGCUCAAGGUAACCGCUUACUUUUGUUUCAUCUUUUUAUUUUGUUUUCCGGGGUUUUGGGUUGAGUGCUAAAAUCUAAUUUUUGCAAACGAUCAACAAAGCUCAGACCAUCACUGGAUCCAAUUUUUUUUUUUUAAUUUUAAUUUUCCGGUUUAUCAAUGCAGUAUGACGUGACAUUGGGAAACAAAUUAUUUUAUUCUCUGCAGGGAAAUACAACUUCUGUGAAAGUAAGCAGUGACAUGAUCGAGGAGUUGCACCAAAGAGCAGAGCAGGUUUGGUUACCUGAAUUGUCAAGAAUGAUCAAAGAAACAAAGGAUCCUUUCCUUAAUGCUAUAUAUGAUCGGGAUCCUUUGGAGAAAAUCUUCUGGGACAGAGUGGUGUUAACAGGAGAUGCAGCUCACCCGACAACUCCACACUCUGCCAGAAGCACAAACAUGGCGAUAAUAGAUGCAGCAGUGUUAGGAAAAUGCCUCGAGAAGUGGGGGCCGGAUCAUUUAUACUCUGCUCUGGAAGAAUAUGAAUCCAUUAGGAAGCCUGUAACUUCAGCACAAGUUCUAUAUGCGCGACGAUUGGGUCAAAUGAAACAGGGGUUAAGUAUUCCUGGAAGGGAGCGGCCUUUUGAUCCAAAGACAGCAAGUCUAGAGGACUCGGAAUUCAUCGUUAACAUAAAAGUGCCUCUUUUCGACGUUGUUCCUCCGAUUCUUGAUUCAAUUUUUCGUUCUGCUUGAUAACUUCAAAGGACACGGUUGGUCUGUUCAUUAUGCUAACUAUAGCUGCCUAUAAAUAAGAGGGUUGACCUCAAUUGUGUGAGUGAAAGAACUGCUAUACUUAUGUUCCUUCCUGUAAUAACGAAAGCCUCUUAAUUCAGUGUCUCUACUUCUUCAGCAAAAUAAAAAUAAAUUCUUGAUCGAAAUACACCCAACUUUUCUAUUUUUCUUAUAAAAAUGACACCACGAUAGGAUGGGAUUGUCCUUGUGUUGUGUCAUUGAUCUAUCCAUAUUUGUUUUUCCCAAAAACAAUUUCCAUGAAGGAGGAUGUUUUGCUGCUUGUUAGUGCACGCUAUUUAAGCACAAGACAUGAUUGAGAUUUAUGCAAGGUAUGUGGUAGAAUUUAUGUAAGACGACCGAUGAUUCAUAAGGAAAGCUAAACAUGAGGGCUAAUAACUUUUACUAUGGUGAUCAACGCGUUGAAGAAAAUUUUUAGAAUUUUUAUUAUAAGUGGUGCAUACAAAAGUUGGUGAGUCGAACUUGUACUCAAAUACUAGCUCAUGUAUUAGGAGUUGCCUUAGGCUUACGUUAUUAAUCUAGUAACUAAUAUUAGCGAUAUGAAACAUUUUUUCUAUCAUCUUCCAUCACAUGUGUGUAGGUCAAUAUUUUUGUUUGGUCCUUGUCUAGUGAUAAGAUAAUGUGAGUGAUUUUGAGAGAAAAUAUGAAAAACACAAACUAUGAAAAUUCCCUUUUACUUAAACUAUGACAGAUUUGUUUACACUGAAGUUGAUAGAAGACAAUCGAAUGCGCAGGAGUGAAAUCUUGACAAAUUAAAGCGAGAACUAAGACAUGCUAGUCCUUUCUCGCGCAUUUAGUUGGCAUUAUUUUGCGUUGCAAAUAAAUGCGGGCACGGUUGAAGGCAUUUUAUCUUUCCGGAAGUGGAUGGAGAAAUAAAUAUAAUUAAAAGGGAUGCGAAUAAUAAAUGCAAUUUUUUCUUAAUAACGAAGAAUAUAUUAGAAAUAAAUUGAAAUGUAACAAAAUACUUGAAAUAAUUCAAUUGAUGGGUUUUUUCUUUGUCAAUAACGCCCGAUAGUUCCUUGUCAUGAGCUUCUUAUCUUCUGUCUUGAAGGAAGAAAUUACGAAAGACAAAUAAAACGAUUUCCUUUACACAUUCAAUCAAUGCUGCUCAUCCAUAAGUUUCCCAUUUAAUAAUAAUAAUAAUACAAUACAGAUAGCUCAACAGCACCAACCAAAACUUCACCACCAGUCACGGUGAAAUGUGAGAUGCAUGCGCUGAUUUUUAUUUUUAUUUUAAUUUUUAUAAUUACUGAUCGAAUAACAUUCUUUUGUUUAAUUAUUUGUUUUGAAUAAACUAGAGAAUGACAUUUAAAAUAUCAAAUAUUAAAUUUAAUGAUUUGUUGAGAGUGGUAAGAGUAUCUUCGCAUAAAAACUAAAAGUUAGUUGGUUAGCUAGUUAUAAUAGAAAAAAAUUAAGGGACCAAUUUGAAAUAUUUGAGCUAGUUAUAUAAAUUUCCCAUAGAUUUUCACGUACCGUUAGUUUUAAGAAUUCAACUUUGACAUGAUUAUGAAUUCCAAAAAUUGAUUAAGAAGAAAGACAGAAACUUUAGCAAUGAUGCUGAAUCAAUCAUUCAUUUUAUUUAAAUUAUGACUGGUAAUGUUUGGGGUUGACGACGCCUCACCAACUGUCAGGCAAUUAUCGUUUCCAAAAGUUUUCCAGAUUCAGCCUGAAAAUUUAACGGGUGUAAAAAAAUAAUUGAGGAUGAGUCUUUCUUUGUUAUUAUAUCAAUUGUUUUAUAAUUUUAAGAAGAUGAAUCAGCAUUGUAAGCCAUCAUUUUCAUUUAUAAUAAAGUUAAUAUACAAAAUGACCGGUGAGGUACCACCAUACCGGGCGGUGCAUGGAAAGAUGGGGAAUUUGGGACUUCCAGUGCGGCGAGAGACUGAGCAUGAGGGUGCUGCAGCGGCUGGGCAUCACUUAUGAGGUGGCUACUUAAUGACCUGAUCAGUUGAGUUUUGGAGAAUUUGGAUUUUGGAUCAAUUAGUUAGGGAGUUGAGUGAGUUUUGUAACUUUAAGAAAAUAGAAUUUGACUGUAAUUAUUAGUUAUAUCUUUAUUUUUUUACGAUAAGUUUUAAUAAGAGUAAAUUUACAAUUAACUAUUAUUAUUUUUUUAAAAAAAAAACCUUAGCCUCCUCUUACCUCCGCCCUUGGUACCUGCUAAAACCAAAUACCCAAAUUAUGAAAACGAAGAGCGAGACGAUAUGUUACUGGAUUGUUAUCAAAAUUUGAAGCUAGAACUUAGCAAUUGCCCAAAGAUAAAGAUUUGCUAAGAUUUUAAGACCCACAGACUUUUUAGUACCAAUUUAUCUUCGUUCCUUCAAGAAUGAUGGUGAUUUGUAGAGCCAUGCCCUGUAUUCAAAAUAAACAAAUUUGAAGAAUAUAUCUGUUGAUUCUGGUAGGGCAGGAGUCUCAUGCACAAGUUUCUCAUCUAUUUUCUUACCAGAACAAAUUUCUAGUCAAAAUGAGGGCGUGAAAGGAAGAUAAAUAGACGAAAUUUGGCCCACCACUUCCUAAAUGAAUAGCUUUUUACCGUAUUAAACGAGGAAAAAUGGAUUAGAUUCUCCCUUAAUUUGAUCUGAUUAGUGAUUACUAAAUAAAGACCACAGACUUUAUUGUAGUGUGUUUCGUCAUUUAAUACAUUGAAGUUUGUAUGUGGCCCCAGUUUUAGAUCACUUAAUUGGAAAGGCACUUCCUUAAUUAUUUUUCAAAAGCACAUCCUAUAAGACUCCAACAGAUGGAGUCCAAGUUCUAGAAUAGAUGAAUAAAUGAUGUCAAUUAAAUGGCAAUAGCCCACCAAAGAAGACAAAGAAAACAAGUUAGGAGAGAUUUUACGGUAUACCAAAAGUACUACACUUAAUUAAUACAUAUACGCUAUAUGUGUAUUUAUUUUUAAAAAAUUAUCAUGUAAUUAAUAGUUAUAUUUAAUUAAACUAUACAUAUCAUACAUGUAUUAGUUAUAUGUAGCACCUAUAUUAUACUCUAGAAUUUCUCACAAGAUAAUAUGUCAAUAUACCACAAACACAAAGUUUGAAUCCUGUGAAAUAUGUUUAAAAUUGACUCUUGUAGAAAUUAUUAUGUGGUGGUGAAAUGAUUAUGAUAAAUAAUAUAUUAACACAUGUCAAUAUAUAAUUAUGCUACAUCAAUGAGGGUACCAUUGGUUUCACAUUUUUAUUUUACGUCUUAACUUUUGUAUUGACAAUAUUAGUUUUGUAUUUUAUACACAUAUAUAUAACUAGUAAGUUAUUUUUUGCAAUCAAUAAAUAUCUAAUAACUCAAUACUUUUAUAUUUAUGCUCAUAAAAUUUUUACUUUUUAAAUAAAUAUUAAAAUAUCUUAAAAAUAAUAAGUUAUAUUUUUUUAACACUAAUUAAAACAAAUAAUUUUCACAUUUAAUCUUGUUUUAGUUAAUAACAUGGACCAUUCGCUCACCACUUGGCAUAACUUUGUAACCUAGGUCCUGUUUGGAAUCGAAGUAUUAUACCUUUUAAGUUACAACUGUCGUAAAAAUUUUGUAAUUAUAAAACAAAAAAUUAAUAGCUGUGAACUUAAUGAUUGCUUACUAAACUUUAGGUAUUUAUUUAUUUAAUUAAUUGUCUAAAAUUUACUUGUUAAUGUUAUUGACAAUACUUAUGUAUUGAUUAAAAAGAUGAAGUAAGGUAUUGAUCUUAUUGAUCAACAGAAAUAUUUUAUACUAGAUUGACAUAUUUGUGUAUUUAUUUUAAUGUUAAAACUUUAAUUUCUCAUUUAUACUGAUAAAAUUUAGAAAUGGGUAUUAUAUGUAGAUUUUUAAGCUCCUAUUAUAAAUUUAUAGUUCGACUUAUAUAAUUUAAUUUAUUUUUUGUGUUUUUAAAAGUAUUGUUUUAAUAUUUGGGAAGUAAAAAUCCAUUGCAGGUUACGCGAGGAUUUAGAAACCUACAGCAGGUGAAUUUUUUUUAAAAAUAAAAAACCCAUAGCGAGUUAAGAAUUUACUGAUUUAAUUACUUUUUACAAGUGCAUGUUUGAUAAUGAUAAAAUCACUGCACUGAAAGAAUUUCUAUGAAGAAUAUAAGUCUUGUUCUGUAUUUUUAAUGAAAUUUACAGAAUUAUUUAUACAAAAUAAAGACAAAGUAGCCGUUGAAAGGCUUAAUAAUAUUAAAGGAGAAUAAGUGAAUACUUCCUAAACUAUUGCACAAUAUCUUUAUACAAUAGGAAUGAAAUAUUCGUACAUGAUAUUGACAUUCAAGUGCAAAAAUCGUGCCGGAGAUAUUCCUUGACAAAUAACUUUGAUGUGAGCAAGUCGUGUCACGUGUGGAGUGAUUAACCCGACUUGACCGUUAAUGACUUUCCUUUUGGUAAUCUUGGUCAGCUUUCUUAACAAGUGGUACCCAUAACCCAUCCAUACUGCUAGGCUAGGUAAACAGCAUAAAUAAAUGUAUAACGAUUCUUAUAUAAAAAGCCACCACCCCAAGCCAAAAGAAAAAAAAAAUUGUGCUGAAUACAACAAUAUAAUUUCUUCAGUUAUAUUUCCUUGGAAACAAGAGAGAUGAAUAUGAAGAAGCAGAAGCCAAAAGCUAUUGUAGUUGGAGGAAGCAUUGCUGGGGAAUCAUGCGCAAAAGCACUUGUUUCAGCAGGCUGGGAUGUUGUUGUGAUUGAGAAAACUCGUGGACCCCCAACCCAAAACCCAACCGGUGCUGGCCUUGGACUCGAUCCAUUGGCUCAGAAAAUUGUUCAGUCAUGGCUCCAUGAACCUGAACUUCUUUACAACAACACUUUACCUGUCACCAUUACUGAGGUAUAUAAUAUAAUAUAUUUAAUUUUUUUUUUCCCAGCAGAAUCCAGUAGUGCUUUGAAUUAUACUGAUCUCUUAAAGAUAUUAGUUGCACACGUGUAUAUACAAUGGUGUAUGGUUAAGAUUUGAUAAAAGUAUAUUUUGCUCUGCACAAAGUACAAUUUAGAAUGGAAUCUCAUUGGGAAAAAAAUGUAUAUAUGUUGAAUAGAUAAAAUUUCAAUUUGUAUUUAAUUGCAGAACCUAGCAACAGAUGGGGAAAAGAAGAUCAGCUGGGUAAUAGGAAGAGAAGAAGGCGCUAAAUAUCUGACUGCAUAUUGGGCUGAUCUUCAUGGCCUUAUAUACAAUACUCUGCCACCUGAAAUAUUUUUAUGGGGUCACCAGUACCUCUCUUUCUGUAUUUCUGAGGACAAAUUAACUGUCAAAGUUAGAGCUAAGGAUCUUGAGACUGAUGAAAUAAUCGAGAUAGUAGGAGAUUUGCUCGUCGGAGCAGAUGGGAUCCUCUCAUCAAUUGGUCGGAGCAUUCUACCUGACUUCAAAUUGAGGUUUGUGCUUGCUUGUGAAUAUCAAUAAAAGUAAUUAAUUUUUGAGUAUUUUGUUUCAUAAAUUUCAAUGUGUUUUUAAUAGGUACACAGGAUACUGUGCGUGGAGAGGUGUUUUUAAUUUUUCAGAAAACGAUUCAGAAACCAUCUUAGGCAUUCGAAAAUCGUAUCCUGAUAUUGGGAAAUGCCUUUACACGAAUAUUGGUUCAGGAUCUCACAUCAUAGUCACUGAGCUUAAGAAAGAGAAGUUCAAUUGGGUUUGGUAUGUCAAUCAACCUGAGCCCGAGCUCAAGGUAACUGCUUACUUUUGUUUCAUCUUUUUAUUUUGUUUCCGGGGUUUUGGGUUGAGUGCUAAAAUCUAAUUUUUGCAAACGAUCAACACAGCUCAGACCAUCACUGGAUCCAUUUUUUUUUUAAUUUUAAUUUUCCGGUUUACCAAUGCAGUAUGACGUGACAUUGGGAAACAAAUUAUUUUAUUCUCUGCAGGGAAAUACAACUUCUGUGAAAGUAAGCAGUGACAUGAUCGAGGAGUUGCACCAAAGAGCAGAGCAGGUUUGGUUACCUGAAUUGUCAAGAAUGAUCAAAGAAACAAAGGAUCCUUUCCUUAAUGCUAUAUAUGAUUGCGAUCCUUUGGAGAAAAUCAUCUGGGACAGAGUGGUGCUAACAGGAGAUGCAGCUCACCCGACAACUCCACACUCUGCCAGAAGUACAAACAUGGCGAUAAUAGAUGCAGCAGUGUUAGGAAAAUGCCUCGAGAAGUGGGGGCCGGAUCAUUUGUACUCUGCUCUGGAAGAAUAUCAAUCCAUUAGGAAACCUGUAACUUCAGCACAAGUUCUACAUUCGCGACGAUUGGGUCAAAUGAAACAAGGGUUAAGUAUUCCUGGAAGGGAGCGGCCUUUUGAUCCAAGGACAGCAAGUCUAGAGGACUCGGAAUUCAUCGUUGUGCCUCCUUUCGACGUUGUUCCUCCGAUUCUUGAUUCAAUUUUUCGUUCUGCUUGAUAACUUCAAAGGACACGGCUUGGUUUGUUCAUUAUGCUAACUAUAGCUGCCUAUAAAUAAGAGGGUUGACCUCAAUUGUGUGAGUAAAAGAACUGCUAUACUUAUGUUCCUUCCUGUAAUAACGAAAGCCUCUUACUUAAUUCAGUGUCUCUACUUCUUCAGCAAAAUAAAAAUAAAUUCUUGAUCGAACUAAACCCAACUUUUCCAAUUUUCUUAUAAAAAUGACACCACGAUAGGAUGGGAUUGUCCUUGUGUUGUGUCAUUGAUCUAUCCAUAUUUGUUUUUCCCAAAAACAAUUUCCUUGAAGGAGGAUGUUUUGCUGCUUGUUAGUGCACGCUAUUUAAGCACAAGACAUGAUUGAGAUUUAUGCAAGGUAUGUGGUAGAAUUUAUGUAAGACGACCGAUGAUUCAUAAGGAAAGCUAAACAUGAGAGUUAGUAACUUGUACUAUGGUGAUCAACGCGUUGAAGAAAAAUUUUAGAAUUUUUAUUAUAAGUGGUGCAUACAAAAGUUGGUGAGUCGAACUUGUACUCAAACACUAGCUCAUGCAUUAGGAGUUGCCUUAGGCUUACGUUAUUAAUCUAGUAACUAAUAUUAGUGAUAUGAAAUAUUUUUUCUAUCAUCUUCCAUCACAUGUGUGUAGUAAAACAAUAAAACUCUGGAGGACGAUUUGUAAUCCUCAGUUUUCAAUGAGGUUCAUAUCACAUAUCCUUCACUUAUAUACAAGCUAAGAAUACAUAUGAUAAACAUUAGCUUACAAGAUAACUACAAGGAUCUAACGAUAACUACAAAGAUAAUUACAAGACUAACGAUAAGAAUAUUUUAAGUUUUAUCUUUAUCGUUAUCACACCCCCGCAAGCUGACAGGACAAGAACGAACUGGAAGCUUGGAAAUUAGAUAGCGAAAGCGAGAAGUAGACAGGCCUUUAGUAAGACAAUCAGCAAGUUGAUCGAGAGUAGAGAUAUAACGAACAUCAAGCUCUCCGCGAACAACCUUUUCUCGAACAUAGUGAUAGUCAACCUCUACAUGACGAGUCCGGGCAUGAAACACAGGAUUGGAGGCCAAGGAAAUGGCACUUAUGUUAUCACACCACAUGCGAGGACAAGACAUAGGAAUAUGUAAGUCUUUGAACAAAGAUCGAAACCAAGAUAAAGUAGCAGCUGUAUAUGCAAGCUGUCUGUACUCAGCCUCGAUACUAGAACGAGAAACCCCUUUUUGCUUCUUAGAACUCCAAGAAAUAAGAUUAGGUCCAAUAAAUAUUCAGGAACCCCCUGUGGAUACUCGAUCAUCAGGAUCACCAGCAUAGUCGGCAUCAGAAAAGGCUUGUAGUUCCAUUGAACCAGAUGAAUAAAGCAGACCAUGAGUGGUUGUACCCUUCAAAUACCGCAAGAUGCGUUUAACUGCACACCAAUGAGCUGUUGUAGGACGAUGCAUGUAUUGACAAACCUGAUUAACAACAAAUGAAAUAUCCGGACGAGUGAUUGUAAGAUACUGCAAAGCACCAACAACACUACGAUAUUCGGUGGGAUUUGAAAGUAAAUCACCAUCAAACAGAUUGAGACGACGACCACUCACUGCUGGUGUUGUCAUAGGCUUUGAAUUGAGGAACUCAGUGCGAUGUAAAAGAUCUAGAAUAUACUUGGUUUGACACAAGUGGAGCCCCAUUGCUGUUUGAGUAGCUUCAAUACCCAGAAAAUAAUGUACAGGACCAAGAUCUUUCAUAGAGAAUAAUUUGCUCAUAUGAUGUAUCAUUUGAGAAAUAUGAUAUGAACUAUUUCCCGUAAUUAAAAUAUCAUCAACAUAGAUGAGUAAAUAUAGAAGCACUGAAUCAUGUGAAUAAAUAAAUAGAGAAUAGUCUGCCAGUGAUUCAUGAAAGCCCAAUUGUUCUAAAUGACUAGAGAAACAUUGAAACCAUGCCCUAGGAGCUUGUUUAAGGCCGUAGAGAGAUCGGGGAAGCUUACACACAAAAGUAGGAUAUUGUGGAUCAACAAAGCCAAUAGGUUGGCGCAUAUAGACAUCCUCCUAUAAAUAACCAUGCAGGAAAGCAUUUUGCACAUCUAACUGUCGAAUAGGCCAGCUUUUGGUAACAGAUAUAGCUAAAAUGAGACGAAUGGUAUUGUGAUUAACCACUGGACAGAACGUCUCACCAAAAUCAAGGCCAGGUUGUUGAUGAAAACCAUUAUCAACUAAACGAGCUUUAUAACACUCAAUACUUCCAUCAGCUUUUCGCUUAAUUUGAUACACCCAUUUAUUUGGAAGGACAUUGUAAGAUGGAUGUGGAGGAACUAAUACCCAAGUACCAGUUCUUUGAAGAGCAUUAAAUUCAUCACCCAUUGCUUGUCGCCAACGAGAUUCCUUAUUUGCCUGUACAAAACCAUUAGGCUCAACAGCAUCAUUAGCAACUACAUUUGCAUAUUUUGGGUUUGGUUUCACAAUACCGGCUCUUGCUCGAGUGACCAUUGGAUGAGAAGAUAAUGCAUCCGAAGUAAUAUUAUCACAGGGCAUCGAUGGUGUCAGUGUAGGUGAAGAUAAUGAUUCUGGAAUUGUAUUAUUACUUGAAUUGGUGGGGGCCGAAUUAAGGCUAGGAGAAUUUGUAUUUGAGAUGAGUGGAGUGGAGGAAGAUGAAGAGGCACUUGAACGUAAUGAUGGAGAAUUAAUUGGAGAUGAUAGGGAAUGGGGUAAAGGUGAAUUAAAUGAAGAUGGUGAUGUGGCUUGGGAAGGAGAUUGUGAUGUAGGUUCUGUUGGAGCUAAAUGUGAAGUAUUAGCAUUAAUCCAAAGAAUAUUGAGUCCUGUAGAAUUUGACAUUAAAGUACUCACCCCCGGAGGCCUAGCAGUAACAUGGUCAACGAAAGGAAAUUUAUUUUCAUUAAAAAGAACAUGACGAGAUAUAAAUACAGUGCCUGAAGGAAUAUGCAAACAACGAUAUCCAUGUUGAUUGAAUGAGUAUCCCAAGAAAACACACUCUUUAGAACGAAAUUGUAAUUUAUUUGAAUUGUAAGGACGAAGAUAAGGGUAACAUGCACAUCCAAAGGUCUUUAAAAAAUCAUAUUGAGGAGUUUUAGAAAAUAGUAAAGAGUACGGUACUCGAAAUUUUAAAGAUUGAGAUGGUAGACGAUUAAUUAAAUAUACAGAUGUAUAAAAAGCUUCAGUCCAAUAAGUAGUAGGCAUUGAGGCAUGUGCAAGUAAAGUUAAGCCCAUGUCAACAAUUUGUCUAUGUUUACGUUCAGCAAUACCAUUUUGUUCAGGAUGAUGAGGACAUGUGAGAUGAUGAUUAAUGCCAUGAGUAUUUAGAUAAUCCUUAAAUUGAUGAUUAACAUAUUCACCACCACCAUCAGUUUGAAAUGACUUAAUAGUAAUGGAAAACAUAUUUUCGACCAACGAUUUAAAAGUUUUAAAAAUUAUAAAAAUCAGAUUUCAAUCGCAUAGGAUAAAGCCAUACAUAUCUGGAAAAAUUAUCAAUAAAGAUAACAUAAUAUUUAUAACCAGAAAUAGAACGAAUAGGAGAGGUCCAAACAUCAGAAUGUAUUAAUUCCAAAGGAGAAUGGGAGACUGAAAAAGAACUUGUAAAAGGUAAUUUCUGACUCUUUCCUAAAGGACAUGACGAACAAAAAAAUAAAGAUCGAGAUCCCAAAAUGAGUAGCUUAUUAAAAGAUAUAAGUUUAUUUAAAACUACGGACGAAGGAUGUCCAAGCCGUGAAUGCCAAAUUCAAGCAUCACUACGAACACCAACAUAAGCAAAUGGAUGACUAGGUUGAAAAAUUCGACCAGGAAAUAGAUAAAGACCAUUACUGCUCGGUCCGAGGAAAAGUGCCUUCUUCAUUGCCAGAUCUUGUACAACAAAAUAAUCAGGAAAGAAGGUGAAACUACAAUGAUUGUCAUUAGCAAAUUUAUGAACGGAUAAAAUAUUAUGGGAAGCUUGUGGACAAUGAUGAACAUCCUUUAAAAGAAAAGUGGAAGAAUUAGCAGAUAAGUAAGAAUGACCAAUGGAUUUAAUAGGCAAACCUGAACCAUUGACGACACCACUGAUGGUAUCCUGACCAUUGUAAUCACGAGGAUGCAUUAAAUUCCCAUUAUUUGGAGUUAUAUGAGCAUUAGCACCAGUAUCUGUUAACCAAUUUGGGGAACCAAAAGAUGUUGAUGUAGAAAUCAUUGCAGAAAGCUGUUGGGGAGGGAUACGACCCUCAUAUGCAUGAUUCAUGCGAUUGUAGCAAUCAAUAGCUGAGUGACCCAUUUUCUGAUAGAUUUGGCAUUGAAUCCGAUUGUCAGAAGGAAAAGGACCCAUUGGGGGUUUGUUGAUAGGACCAUUACUAGGAUUGAAAUUUGGCAAAGAGGAAAAAUUCCCACGUCUUGGAGUUGGCAGUAGCCCUCUAUUUUGAGAACCAAAACCAGUAUGAUUAGAACUACUAGACCAUCCAGUAAAACCAUUACCACCAUUGAAACCCCCAGAAAAAUUAUUAACACCACCACGACCACUAUUAUUACGCGGGAAGCCACGACCAUCUCUAUUAUUUGGGCCACCUCGAGUGGCUUUCAUGACAACUGUUGAGUCGGACGGAUACAGAUAUUGUUUAAUAGAAGUGAGGCGUCGCUCAGCACUCAAAAGUAAAGCUUCAAGACCAACAUAACUAAUAGGAGUUUCACGAGCUUGAACAGAGGCAACUGUAUUUUCAUAUAAAUGACCAACAAUACUCAUAAUAAUGGAGACCAAGUCUUCAUCAGAAAUAUGACUACCAGAGAGAGAGAGAUUGUCAGCAAUAGAGUGAAUUUUAUCCAGAAAAUCAGAAAUAGAAAGAUCACCGCGUUUAGUAGUAACUAGCUCAGUACGCAACUCGACGAUUCGUUGUUGAUUUUGGGAAGCAAAACGUUGAUCUAAAGAAGACUAGACAGCACGUGCAGAAGUGUAACGUGCAACAGUACUUAGCAAGGAUUGAGAAAGAGAGCCAUUAAUCUAAGAGAGAACAAGUUGAUCAUUCUGAAUCCAUUCCUCAUAUGCUGGAUUAAUUAUAUCAGUUACUUCUCCAUUUUUUUCUUUUAGAAAAGGAGCAGGACAAACGCUUGUGCCAUCAACAUAUUUUUACAAAUUACGACUGCGAAGAAGAGGCACAAUUUGAGCAAGCCACAAAGGAUAAUUAUUUCGGUCAAGACGAACAUUGACUGAAUUGGUAAUAUUAGAGGGCAGAGAUGAAGAACUAGCAUGGGAAGUGGAAGAAGAACUCAUCAUGAAAAGAUUGAGAAUUUAACACAAAGGUUGUUAGACUUAUAAAGUUCUGAUACCAUAAAACAAUAAAACUUUGGAGGACGAUUUGUAAGCCUCAGUUUUCAAUGAGGUUCAUAUCACAUAUCCUUCACUUAGAUACAAGCUAAGAAUACAUAUGAUAAACAUUAGCUUACAAGAUAACUACAAGGAUAAUUACAAGACUAACGAUAACUACAAAGAUAAUUACAAGACUAACGAUAAGAAUAUUUUAAGUUUUAUCUUUAUCGUUAUCAUGUAGGUCAAUCUUUUUGUUUGGUCCAUGUCUAGUGAUAAGAUAGUGUGAGUGAUUUUGAGAGAAAAUAUGAAAAACACAAACAAUGAAAAUUCCCUUUUACUUAAACUAAGACAGAUUUUUCUACACUGAAGUUGAUAGAAGACACUCGAAUGCGCCGGAGUGACAUCUUGACAAAUUAAAGCGAGAACUAAGACAUGCUAGACUGCUAGUCCUUUCUCGCGCAUUUAGUUGACAUUAUUUUGCUUUGCAAAUAAAUGCGGGCAUGGUUGAAGGCAUUUUAUCUUUCCAGAAGUGGAUGGAGAAAUAAAUAUAAUUAAAAGGGAUGCGAAUAAUAAAUGCCAGUUUUUCUUAAUAAUGAAGAAUCUAUUAGAAAUAAAUUGAAAUGUAACAAAAUACUUGAAAUAAUUCAAGUGAUGGGUUUUUUCUCUGUCAAUAACGGUUGAUAGUUCCUUGUCAUGAGCUUCUUAUCUUUUGUCUUGAAGGAAGAAAUUACAAAAGACAAAUAAAACGAUUUCCUUUACACAUUCAAUCAAUGCUGCUGCCUUUAUACCUUUAUUAUUCUCGGAGGGAUGAUACUGUUGAGAGCCGAAACCAUUACCCACACUCACUCCUCUUAUGGCCAUGUCUAACUCUCUACAAUAAUUUUGAUAUUGCUGUUCUUCAGUUCUUCCACUACUCAACAAAUGCGAAGGUAUGCGAUGGCUCCCCUCAAUCAAGUUGAUUUUACAUUUGUUACAAUAUACUCCCGCCAUUGCUAGAGCCUCUAUGGACAUGUUUUAACAAGGUGAAGGAGGAGCUAAAUAAAAUUCACAAUUUUCCUGAAAGUUUACAGCUUCCAGGAAAUUCACCACCUCUAUAGAAUUGUAAUAACAAGAAUUGUGGUCUCCGUAAAAGAAUUUAUAAGAGUUAAUAUAAAAGAUUUGUUUAGGAGAAUGAAUUUUAUACGGACUAGAAAUACUCAUGAUUAAUUAGUUAUUCAGAAGGUUUAGAAAUCCUCUCGAUAUCAGGAAGCCAUUUAAGAUUCUGAUUAUUGUUGUUCUAAAUAUAUUAGUUUGCACCAACUUCCAAUUCCACAAUUACUCUGACAGCGGUUUUCACAGACUUAUUUAUGUAUCUGAAUCUUUUUUAUUCAUGAAAGAAUAAUCUCUUGCAAACUCACAACUUCAAUUAUGAAUAAACUAGGUAGCAACCAUUUCUUUACUUUUAAUUGCUUUGGAAAUUAAGGAUUCGUCAGCCGCCAGAUUCCGCAGUGAUUCUGUUGCAUUGGAUUCCUUCAAUUUCCUUUUGCAUUCCAUUAUUUGUUGAACUAUUUAUGCACGAGUGGAGGACGAAUUCUAGAAUACAUUUGAAAUAAUACAAUCAACCAAUGCAUGCACACCACUCGUAUGGAGAUUUUUCAAAAAUAAAUGUACACAUGUCAUAAUAUUAUCUACUUGUUAUAUGACUGACAUGAUAUUUUUCAUGUAUUCUAAAUUUUUUCUGAGUGGAGACCAUGAGUGGUAACAUCCUCGUUACAAAAGAGUAUUACAAAGAGAGAAUCACUUGUCAAUUUCAAUAUUUAUUGUAUUGAAACUACUAAGUAUAUAAGCUCGGACAACCCUAAUUUCAUGAUGAGGGGUUAAAGACAAUACUAUUCUAAAAGAAAAUGGAACGAAAUCGUCCAUCCAUAGCCAUUAUUUGACUUUUAGAUUUGCCCUUCCAAAUUUUAACAAAAUGCGCAGACGAUUUUUAAUUUAUUCAUGUGAGCAAAGUACAACAAAAUUAUUGAACCAAUCAGAACCAAGAUGGAAAUGAUCAUAAGCAAAAGUAAUUUGCAAGGAUGAAUGGAAGCAGAUAAAUUAUUCUAAUUAAGAAGGAUAUUUACUAGGAUCAUACCUUAAUCACUUUAUUAUAAAUUAAAAAUGUCCGUACAAGAACUGCUGCAAAUUAAUUAAACUAUUGGAAAAAGAAAAAUUGUAGACAAAAUCUCAAUGAAUUUUAAGCCAAUUUGGCUAACAAAGACAUGCAACCAGCGCCUAAAAGAAGAGAAACAUUUGCUCCAAACUGAAGCCUUUUAUUGGUUUGCAUCUUUGGAUUCAUAAAAUCUGCAGCAAGAAGAUCCACCAAGGACAUGUAUAUUAGGAUUCUGGCUGCUGCUGCAUUGAAUAUUCCUUCAACAACAAGAGCAGUGGCGCUAUUUUUGUCAUAAACACUUGAUAUUUCAAUGCCUAUUUUUACACUAAUUUGAUCAUUUUGUAAUAUAAAAAUUUGACAAUUGAAAAACAAAUCAACUUUUUUUUUUGUUAAAAGAAAACGAAUCAACUUUUAAAUUCAUUUUAAAGUAAAAAAAAAUGACAGUAAAAUACUAUUAACGUAAGGGGAUUUCAGUAAAUUUUAGAACAUGAGAGAUAAAUGACUAAUUUUACUAGACAAAGGGGGUUAAUUUUCUCCUAAAAAAAAUUAGGUAUUGGUUGAUGACUUUUAAAAAAAAAACUACUCUUUAUUAUUAUUUUUUUAAAUUUUCUUUUUGUUCGACCAAAACUCCCAUGGUAUUGGGAUAUACCUAAAUUUGAUGUAAAAUUAGGGAUUAGUUAAAUGAAAUAAUUUAAACACUGCAUAAAAUCUGUUUGUGGGGUAUGCUUCGACGAAGACCAGCAGUGAUAAGCAGACAUUUGGUAGCAGGGUUCCUUGAACAUGUAUAUCUUGUAAGAGUCUGGUAGCCAGGGGAGCAGGAGCAGGAAUAUCCUGCUCGUCCACGAGUACGUCAUCCAUAAGGCCAAUCUCCUGUUGGAAGCAUAAAGUCAUUCCUGCUACAUUCCUGCUAAGGGUUGAGUCGAGGAGACCCGGUCAACGACAGUUGGCGAGACGUGCUCUCCAGUCCGAGAAUCAAGGCACGAAGGCCACGCAACCACCCACGACUACAGAAAUGGAGCAUCCACUUUCGAGAGGUGGGAGGAUAACGAGCGCGAAUGGAGGGAAGGCCUGAGUUCAGAAGUGGCCUAUAAAAAGGUAGGCAACGAAGGUAAAAGGGUUAGAAUUUUUUAUAGGAGAACUAAGAUAAAGAGAGCUCUAAAGAAUGAAUACUAGAGAAAAGCCAUAAGAUUAGUGGCCAGUGUUCCCAAGAGCACAAAACCUUCAUUUCUAACUUGAGCGUCGGAGGGUUUACGCCAGGGAAACAACCGGCGUACUCUGACCUGCUUCUGUGUACGCAGGAACCUCAGGAGAAGAAGCCUUACGAGAAGAGAUCCUGGUCGUGAUAAAGAGGGCAACCAGAAUCUCGCAUCAAUAUUUUGACGCCGUCUGUGGGGAACUGAUCACAAAGUUUUUGUUGACAGCAAAAAGAGGAGUAAAGCAAGUGAAAAAACAAUGGAGGCAGGAGGAAGUAGUGCACAAGGGGGGUGAUAUGAGGCUUAACGAUUCCGUGACGCUGAGGGAGAUAGACAGUUAACCACGGGAAAAAGCCAUGUUUGACCGAAUAGAACGGAUAGAAAAGCAGAUGGAGACCCUGACAACCAUCUUACAUGAGCUGUGGAGUGAAAGAAGGGGAACCCAGGAGGAAAGGGUGAGAGGUGGUGGAGUGGCACCAGGUCACGAUAGUAUGAGGAGAGUCAAACCACCAGGAGAUUUGGUGGUGAGAGAGGUAACUUAUCUCUGCGGGGAGAAAUUCAUAGAGAGGAAGAGCAAUCCUUAGCAAGACAGAUUUUUGAUGAGGACGACGGGGUGGCGAAUGCAGAGGAAACAGAGCUCAGGCAACACUUACAUGAUGUAGAGCAAGAGCGGGAUCAAGUUGCAGCACGUGACCCUAGUCGUGCAGUGCAGCUGGAGAAGGAAGUGCGCAGACUAGCGCAGGUAAUUGAAGACAUGCAAGGAAGGAGCAGAGCUCCUGGUUGGAGGAUAAUGCUGGACGGAGAAUCACCGCUCGUGGCAGAGAUCAUGAGGGCAGUCAUUCCAAGAGAUUUUCGUCUCCUAGACCUUAGAUAUUUGGGACGAACUGAUCCGUUGGUGUACAUAGAGCGCUUCAACGACAUAACUGGGGUGCAAGGAUUAUCUCAAGCCCAAAGGUGCAGGGUGUUCCCACUAUCCCUAGAAGGACGUGCACGCGAGUGGUACAGAAAAUUUCCUCGGGGGAGCAUUAAAACCUUCGAGCAGAUGUGCCAGGAAUUUGUAGAGCAGUUUCGUGGGGCAAUGGCACCAGAAGACGACAUGAUGGAGUUGAAAAGCAUGAAGCAGAGGGAGCAAGAAACCCUUCGGGAAUUCUUCAAGAGGUUUCAUUGUGCUGUCCUCGAUUUGGAAGCCUUCAACCAUCCUCAGGCAUUAAGGGGAUUGAAAGAAGAGGUGAAGAUAAGAAAAAGUGAUGUCCGUUUUGCCGUCUGAUUUCUCCUUUAUUGUGAAAUGACUAUAAUGCCCCUAAAAUACAUAAAAUACUUAAUUAAAAUAAAACACAUGUAAUUAAAUCACAAGAAGGUUAAACACAUAAAAGUAAGGGUUGUUAAUAAGACUUGAAAUGUAAAAUGACGGUUUUCUCCUUUAUAAAUAUGCAUUUUCUAACACUCAACACUUACCAGCCUCAUCAGAGGCUACCACAGUAUCAGCGCAGCAGGGCGCAACCUCCUCGCUCACCAGCUAGGGAGCCUUGGAGACGGCAUGACGCGGCAUAUGGUGGUCUUCAUCCACACUCCCAUGGUAGUAGAAGGAGCAGACCGAAAGCGCUGCCACCGCCUCCAACUCAGAACGGCGCAAAUAGAGAAAGGGCAGUGCACAUGAUCAACCAGAACCAGGACUAUGGGUGGUAUACUUCCUUGAAGAUGCCCCUGGAUGAGGUGUAUGAGGCCAUAAAAGACCAGGGACUACUGUACCUCUCUGCCCCAAUAACAAAGCUACGCAGCAGGAGGGAUAGGGGACACUAUUAUAAGUUCUAUGGCACUUAUGGCCAUACCACUGCAGAAUGCAGAGAUCUCAAGACCCAGGUUGAGGAUUUGGUGAGAAAUCGGUACCUGGACGAGUUUAUAUAUGGGACUUUCCCGAUGAUGGCCUCGACAUGUGAAGGGGAGCAGAGUGACAGAAACUUGAGGCACGAGCAGCCUACAGUAAGGGUGAUAGCUGGGGGCCCAACAUUGGCCGGAGAUUCCAACAGAUCGAGGAAGAAUUAUGCUAGAUACGCCAUGACUAGUAAAGAGGUAUUCUUCAACACCCCAGCAGUCAAACGAGCAAGAGUCAGGCAAGUGCCAAUCAUGUGGACAGAUGAGGAUGAAGAAGGGAUUUUAUACCCCCACGAGGAUGCUUUAGUCAUCAAGGCCACUGUUGCUAGCAAGAAGUUUGACCAGAUACUGGUUGACACAGGGAGCUCAGUUGAUGUGUUGUUAAAGGCAACUCUGAAGGAGAUGGGAAUAGCAGACUUGAAGUUGGAGUGCUCCAAUACCUCCUUGAAGGGGUUUGGAGGAGGAAAGCUGGUCCCUCUGGGCGUGGUCGAGCUGCCUAUCACGAUUGGGAGCUCCCCGACAGAAAGGACUAUGAUACUGGACUUUGUGGUGGUGGAUGAAGAAGGUCCUUAUCAGAUGAUCCUAGGUCGACCAUUUUUUAGAAUGAGCAAAGUGGUACUGUCCAACCAUUAUCUAGCUCUCAAGUACCGGGUGAAUGGGGUAGUUGGAGUGGUACGAGGAGACCAGAGAAUCGCACGAAGUUGUUACUCCUCGGCAGCAAGGGAAGCAAUGCAGAUAACAUCCCUUGAUACCCGAGUGGAAAAUAAGAAUUGCGGACAAGAACCUGUAGAGGAGCUGGAGACAGUGAGCCUGGGACCGGAGCAUCCGGGAAAAACGAUCAGAAUCAGGUCGAAACUUAAAGAAGAGCAGAAGCAGGAGUUGGUGCAAUGCUUGCGGGCUCAUGCAGAUGUGUUUGCUUGGACACAUGAAGACAUGCCAGGGAUUGAUCCUGAGGUAGCAUGUCAUAAGCUGGUAAUAAAGAAAGGUGCUCGGGCAGUAAGGCAGAAAAGGAGGUGUUUCAACCAGGAGAGGUAUGAGGCUAUAAAUGGCGAGGUGGAAAAGCUCUUGAAAGCAGGGUUCAUUCGGGAAGUCAAUUAUCCUGACUGGGUAUCGAAUGUGGUGUUAGUAAAAAAGGCUAAUGGCAAGUGGAGGAUGUGUGUGGAUUUCACGGACCUCAACAAGGCGUGCCCGAAAGACAGCUUUCCCUUACCAAAGAUUGACCAGCUUGUAGACUCGACAGCUGGACAUAGCCUGCUUAGCUUCAUGGACGCAUUCUCGGGAUACAACCAAAUCCCCAUGUUCGAGCAGGAUGAGGAGAGCACGGCAUUUAUUACUAACCAGGGUCUGUUCUGUUACAGAGUAAUGCCAUUCGAUCUUAAAAAUAUGGGGGCCACGUACCAGAGGCUGGUGAAUAAAGUUUUUAAGCCGUUGAUUGGGAGAACAAUGGAGGUGUACGUGGAUGACAUGAUAACUAAGUCGAAAAUCUCAAAGGAACAUGUCAAGCACCUCGAGGAGACAUUCGCACUUUUGAGGAAGUACAAGAUGAAGCUCAACCCGGAAAAGUGUGCUUUUAGGGUCGAGUCAGGGAAAUUCCUCAGAUUCAUGGUGAGUCAUAGGGGGAUCGGGGCAAAUCCCGAGAAGAUCCAGGCGAUUGUUCAGAUGAGGUCUCCUCGUAACCUGAAGGAGAUGCAGAGCCUUACGGGGAGGCUGGCGGCAUUGAGCCGAUUCAUAUCCAAGGCUACAGAUAAGUGUCAGCCAUUUUUUCAAGUGAUAAGGAAAGGAGAAGACAUAAUGGACCCCAGAAUGCGAAAAGGCCUUUCAGAGCUUGAAGCAAUACUUGUAGCAAGCACCCUUGUUGUCCACACUAAGGGAUGGGGACAAGUUAUCUUUGUAUUUGACGGUAUCAGAUCAUGCCACAAGUUCUGUUCUGGUGAGAGAGGAAGAAGGGGUUCAGUAUCCGAUAUAUUACACCAACAAGGUCCUGCUUGACGCUGAGACCCGAUACCCACCGUUGGAGAAAUGGGCACUCGUUCUUGUGGUCGCUGCUCGGAAGCUGAGGCCGUACUUUCAAGCAUUCCCCGUCUCGGUAAUAACAAACCAGCCAUUGCGUCAAACCCUACACAAGCCGGAUGCCUCUAGUCAACUCGUAAAGUGGGCUAUAGAGCUAAGCGAGUUUGACAUUGAUUACAAACCCCGAGCAGCGAUAAAGGCUCAAGCAAUGACUGAUUUCGUAGCAGAGUUUGCAGAGCCUGAAAUAUGUUUGGACCAGCUAGAUAUUGCUACAGACAGCAGCGAAGCCCGAGUAUGGCAGAUGUCUGUAGAUGGGUCAUCAGGGGAGCAGGGAUCAGGAGUAGGAAUUGUCUUGGAAGGCCCAGAGGGGGAGGAGAUCUCUUAUGCUGUAAAGUUAGAAUUCGCAGCCACAAAUAACCAGGCAGAGUACGAAGCCUUGAUAGCAGGCUUGGAAUUGGCUAAGGCAGUGAAAACAGAUAGAGUGAAGAUCAGAACUGAUUCCCAGCUGGUUGCAAAUCAUGUCAGUGAAAGAUUUCAACCGAGAGAGGAGAAGAUGGAGCAGUACCUGAAGAUAGUCAGGCAGAUGAUGGAGAAAUUUGAAGUGGUUGAGGUGAUACAAAUCCCCAGGGAGCAGAAUAGUCGAGCAGAUAUUUUGGCCAGGAUGGCAGCGGUAGCAGACCCAAAAAUGCCAAAGUCGAUCCCUCUGGAGGUGAAGUCCAACCCGAGCACCGAGCAGAAUCUGGAGGUGCUGCGGAUAGAACAAAAAUGCUCGUGGAUGGACUCGAUAAUUUCAUACCUUAGAGACGGGGUAUUACCACCAGAUAAGCUGCGAGCUCGAAAGAUUAGAGCCCAGGCCUCGAGAUACACGAUGAUUGAUGGGGUGUUAUAUCGGUGAAGGUAUACGCUACCGUUCCUUCGGUGUUUGGAUGAGGACGACGCGGACUAUGUACUGAGAGAGGUACAUGAAGGAAUCUGCAGAAACCAUUCUAGUGGGAGGUCCCUGGCCCACAAGGUUCUAAGGCAGGGAUAUUUUUGGCCGACAAUGCACCAGGAUGCGCAGGAGAAGACCAGGAGCUGUGUAAGCUGCCAGAGUUUUGCAAGUUUCUCCAACCAACCACCAGAGAAGCUCACCUCUAUGGCCUCCCCUUGGCCAUUUGCUCAAUGGGAAAUUGAUCUGAUCGGCCCGUUGCCAAAGGGACGAGGAGCAGCAACACAUGCAAUAGUUGCGAUAGACUACUUCACGAAGUGGAUAGAGGUAGAAGCCCUUAGCAGGAUCACAGAGAAGAAGACAACAGACUUCGUGUGGAGAAACCUGGUCUGUCGGUACGGGAUCCCUUAUGCCUUGGUAACGAAUAAUGGCAGGCAGUUCGAUAAUCACAGCUUCAGGGAUUUCUGCCAAAACCUCGGGAUAGAGUUGAAAUAUUGCUCGCCUGCUUACCCACAGUCUAACGGGCAAGUAGAAGCAGCCAACAAAACGAUCAAGAGGCUUUUAAAAACCAGGCUUGGAGCAAAAAAGGGUGCUUGGGUUGAUGAGCUAUCAGGUGUACUAUGGGCAUACAGGACAACCUAUAAGACAACAACUGGGGAAACUCCAUUCGCCUUGACCUUCGGACACAAAGCGGUUGUACCAGCCAAGAUAGGAACAACCACGCACUGGACAGAUCAUUUCGAUGAGCAAGAGAACAACGACCAGAUGUGCUUGAAUCUAGAUCUGCUAACCGAGAAGAGGGAACAAGCAUCGAGGUGAUCAGCCAUUUACCAGCAGAGGGUUGCUCGGUACUACAACCAGAGGGUGAAUGUAUGGCAGUUCAAGGUCGGAGAUUGGGUGUUGAGGAGAGUGAAUCAGAACACGAAAGACUCGGCCUAGAGAGUACUCAGACCAAAUUGGGAGGGGCCAUAAAGGGUCAAGCAGCUAGUUAGACCCGGAGCUUACAAGCUGGUUCGCACGGAUGGCCACGAGGUGAAAUGCCCAUGGAAUGCGGCACACCUCAGGAAAUAUUUUCAGUAAGACUUAUUCAUGUUUUAAAGUUAUUUCUGUUCAUGCUCGUUGUUUUUUAUUUUUAUUUCAAAGUAAUCUCAUGUAAGCCGAAUUCAAUAAUAAGUGAAUCAAUGAGAAAUUUCAGUUAACUGUACUGUUCAAAAAUUUACUAAGGCAUGCAAAGGCUCACCAAGUCUCAAAGCUUGUUAUGGCGAGACCAGAAGCCAAGUGUGCCAGGAUCUGCUCGACCACGCGAAGGUGAGCAGAACCCCAAGCAUUGAAGAAUUUACUAAGGCAUGCAAAGGCUCACCAAGUCUCAAAGCCUGUUUAUGGCGAGACCAGAAGCCAAGCGUGCCAGGAUCUGCUCGACCACGCGAAGGCGAGCAGAAUCCCAAGCAUUGAAGAAUUUUCUAAGGCAUGCAAAGGCUCAUCAACUCUCAAAGCCUGUUUAUGGCGAGACCAGAAGCCAAGCGUGCCAGGAUCUGCUCGACCAAGCGAAGGCGAGCAGAAUCCCAAACAUUGAAAAAUUUACUAAGGCAUGCAAAUGCUCACCAAGUCUCAAAGUCUGUUUAUGGCGAGACCAGAAGCCAAGCGUGACAGGAUCUGCUCGACCACGCGAAGGCGAGCAGAACCCCAAGCAUUGAAGAAUUUUCUAAGGCAUGCAAAGGCUCACCAAGUCUCAAAGCCUGUUUAUGGCGAGACCAGAAGCCAAGCGUGCCAGGAUCUGCUCGACCAAGCGAAGGCAAGCAGACCUUUAAGUGUUAUAAAAAUUUCUAAGGCAAGUAAAGGCUCCAAAGUCUCAAAACCUGCUCGAUGGCGAGAUAAAAAGUCAAGCUUGCUAGAAUUUGCCCGACCAUGUGAAGCCGAGCAAAAAAAAAAAAAUUUACAACUUCUAUACCAGAAGACAAGUAAGAACAUUCUUAUUAAUAUGCCAACAGUUCGUAAAGUUAUUCAUCAUAACAGACAAUGUCCAAAAAAUAGGAAAAGGCAACUAUAACACAAAACAUGUUUAAAAAGACGGCGGCUCAGUAAGCCGAGAAGCCUCAGUUGGCUGGUCCACCUCAGGUGCUGGGGGAGUAUCACCAGUUGCGUCCGGGGGGGCACUUGCCUCGCCAACGUCAACAGGGAUUGCACAAGGAGGAGAGUUUUCCUCCUCGACCAUAAUUGGCUCCACCACUUCGGCAUCCUCUUUCGCCGCCUCCUCAUCAUCCAUGUGUUGAGCAACACCAGCUGCAAGGUCAUCCAUUUUCAGAUCAGGGUGCUACUUCCCAAGGACAACCAUGAUGCAACGAUAAGAAUGCCGAAGUCCCUGGUCGUAUUGGUUGUCCGCUUCCUUCUCCAAGUUCUCGACCUAAGCCCGGUAGGAAUCGCGGAGAGAUUCGAGCUGAGCCUCGUACAUAACCUUCUACCUUUGCAGAUCUUCUUUGACCUUGGUUAGCUCUUCCUCGAGAGUAAUAGCCUUUGCUUAAGCAAGAGAUUCUCACUCUAUCAGCUUCAGAUUCUCGAGAUUCAAGUCUCCUACUUUCUUCUCGGCAGCGUCGGCUCUGGUCAUCGCCGAUUGAAUGUCCUCCUUCAUCUUCCAGUCAUAACGACCAACCUUGACCUUAUAGUAAGUGGUCAUGCAGCUGAGAUGGAAAUCGCUAUACUGCAUGGCCCCCACCAGCUCACCCAGGGUGCAGCCAUCAAAGUCCUCCAGGUCCUUCUUGCUUACAAGUUUAGAUAACUCGUUGAGAUAGGGGACCAAGUGUUCUGCUCGGUUGUCAGAUAAACGAGAUCUAGGCCCGACAGGAGGAGAAGAGGAAGCAGGAUCAGUGGCUGCUCCACUAGUUUCUCCGACUUUGGCAGGAGGAGGAGGUAGAGUCUUCAAGGGAGGAACCUGCUGCACAAUGUUCACCCGCUUCGCAGUAAGAGCGUCCUUGUUCUGGUCUCUCUUCGCAGUUUGAGGUCGAGAACGUUUCCAAUUCAGAGCCCCGAUCACAACAUCCUCCAUCUUAUGGCCGGGGGGCACCAAGCAAGAUUCAACCAGGUUAUAACGUGGUUAGCAGCUCCCAGUGCGAGCAAGAAUUGGCCAACACAGCCUCGACCUGUUUGAGCUGGUCGGGAUUAAGCGGGAAGUGAACACCCCAAGAACCUGUAAAACGAACAGACAUUUGGUUAGAGACAAAUCAACAAAGUGAGAACAACUAUAGAGACAAGUCAUUUAAAAUGAGCAGGCAACCUGGAACCACGAAAUGGGGUGGGACGCGAUAAUCCUUCCCAUCAAUCUGUGCAACUUGACCCCAGGGACCCCCAGCAAAAAAGAACUUUCUCUUCCAAUUCCCACCACCACCAGUAGGAAGGUCGGUUAUGGGUUUCCUGAUCUUAGUACUUGAUUGGAAGUAAUACCAGCCAACAUCUUUGGGGCUGGUUUUCAGCUGGUACAUGUGCUUCACCUCAUCAACUGUGGGCUCGCUUUGGCAACAUUUGUCCCACAAUAUGAACAGACUAGAGAGUACUCUCUACCCGUUGGGGUUCAGCUGACCAGGAGCUAGAUUUAGCCCGUUAAGAAUCCGGGCAAAGUAGGGUUGCAAGGGGCACCUCAGUCCAUACUUAAAACUCUCCAAAAACGGGGUAACAUAUCCCCUAGGAGGCCAGCUAGGAGUAUCCUUCUUUCCUGGGAUUUUAAGAGGUAUUUCACCAGGAAUACUAUACCUAAGCCGGAGGUCAGUGAGUUCAUCAAAUGUGGUCGUGCAUGUAAUGUAAUCAAUAGCGUAAUCCCGCGAUAGGGCUCUACCUCCUACUAUACUCCGCCCUUCUGGUCGCGAUGUUCGCAGUGAGGAUACCUCCCCAGAGUCACCCCUUCGAUCCUCACUCAGGGUGUUUUUCGAGCCAGAAGAUCCCUCCUCAUCCCUAUUUCUGCUUGAGGAGGCUGUUUGGGGGGACAUCCUCCUAGAGCUAGUCCCAACACUAGACCUAAUGGGUUCUAAGGGGAUCCUGGGGUCAAAAGUAGGAUCGGUGAGCAGACUAGGCAGGAAGUCCAACUCAUCGUCAUCAACCUCAAUGACUUUUUCUUUACCUUUCGACAUUCUCUAAACUAUAACUAGAGCACCACCACCAACUACUACCCAAUCAAAGCAAAGAGAAAAGAAAUUAUCUACAACUAUCCAAGACCGAGAAAAUAGGAGAAAUACCUAAAGAAGGGGCUCGGCCAGAGAGAGAUAGGGAUGGAAGCUUUAAUGCCGAAGUUCAUUCGCCGGAGAGACAAGAAGGGAGAAAAUGACGAGUUCUCGUUUGGGGGUUUUGGGUUUUCCUACUGAGGAACAAACUCUUGGGCUGCCAGCAUUUAACGGCACAUAUCCCAAGAGUCUUGCAACCGUAGGUUUGAAAUUCAAAUAGAGGGGUAGAUUUCUGCCACAUCACCUCAUCCGCAAUUAAAUGCGACACGACACUUGGCAGCUUUUUCCAAUCCCGCGCGAGCAAGAACUGUCGAGUUUCUACUGUUGGCUCACUACGUUACCCAACACCAGAAACUGGGGGACCAAUGUUUGUGGGAUAUGCUUCGACGAAGACCAGCAGUGAUGAGUAGACAUCUGAUAGCAGGGUUCCUUGAACAGGUAUAUCUUGUAAGAGUCUGGUAGCCGGGGGAGUGUUGUGCAAAUUUUAAUGUACUCGCAAGCGCACGAAUCUAUUGUAGUAUAGAUUAAUGGUGACGAGUGUCGAUCCCACGAGGAGGUGUAUUUUAAUUAUAUGUAGAAUUAAUUUUGUAAAUGGGUGGUUGAAAUUGUGGUGGAAGUGAUUUAAAUUAUCCUAAAAUUGGAAUUGAGAUGGCGAUAAUAAAUUCUAAAAUUGGAAUUGCAAUGGCGAGAAUAAAUUGAAGCAAAAUCUAUUGAAAUGACGUACUUGGGUAUCUGGAUCCAUAUCAACAUGCAUCAUGAGCUAAAUAAUCCGUAUUAAUGCCAAUUAAAUCAUGAGGGGGGAAUCCACACCUCAUGAACCACGCUCUAAUCAAUAUGGUGCUAAGGGCUUAUCGUUCCAAAUAAUAAUAACCUUGUACUAGAGGGCCGGUGAAACCAAGGCGGUACUAGACAAGAUUAGUAUUAUUUGUCGACGAGAAGUCAAAACAUCCACAAAAACUAGAGGGGAAGAGAAAAUAAAUUUACCAAAUAAAGCCCAUGACACAUGUUGAGACUUCACCUUCAACCCAAGCUUGAAAGAAAAUUAGCUAUUCAUAAUUGAACUAGGGGCAAAAUGAGAAUUUAUUAAAAUACGUAGAAAAUAGAAGAUGGAGAAGGAAUUACAGAAAAUGGAUCCCAAAAAUGGAUUCAGAGAUAUCAAAUUAAGGGGGAGAGGCCCCUUUUUUAUAGAUACAUGGAAUAAAUCAUGGCCAUCGGAUUAAAAACAGUUUUGACGCUCAGGAUUGCGCCACUUCAUCAGUCAACAAUACGCGGUUUGACCACGCGAAUGAACAGCAACACAGUUUGACCCGGGUUGAACAGUAAUGAUGUUUGGUUGAAAAUAAUCCUGUGUGAUACAUGUACCGUGCGCGAGAUUUUUCGUCCACUGAUAUGCUGCCACGUCACCAUCAAUAGUACAUAAGAAUUUUAGUCCAACAGGAUCGUGACACCUCAUCAGUCAAUGCCACAUCAUCGGUCAAUGCCACAUCAUCGAUCCGUCUAUGUGAACAAUGUCGUGAACAGUAACGUAGAUAGUACCGUACAUGUGAAUAGUGCCAUUUUUCCUUUUAUGCUCCUCAUAAGGUUUUCGACCGUCCUGAGUUCAAAAGUGAUGUCCGUUUUGCUGUCUGAUCUCUCCUUUAUUGUGAAAUGACUAUAAUGCCCCUAAAAUACAUAAAAUACUUAAUUAAAAUCAAACACACAUAAUUAAAUUGCAAGAAGCUUAAAUACAUAAAAGUAAAGGUUGUUAGUAAAACUUGAAAUGUAAAAUGAUGAUUUUCUCCUUUAUAAAUAUACAUUUUCUAACACUCAACAUGGAGCAGGAGUAGGAAUAUCCUGCUCGUCCAUGAGUACGUCAUCCACGAGGCCAAUCUCCUGCUGGAAGCAUAAAGUCAUUCCUGCUACAUUCCUGCUAAGGGUUGAGUCGAGGAGACCCGGUCAACGACAGUUGGCGAGACGUGUUCUCCAGUCCGAGAAUCAAGGCAGGAAGGCCACGCAACCACCCACGACUACGGAAAUGGAGCAUCCACUUUUGAGAGGUGGGAGGAUAACGAGCGCGAAUGGAGGGAAGACUUGAGUUCAGAAGUGGCCUAUAAAAAGGUAGCCAACGAAGGUAAAAGGGUUAGAAUUUUUUAUAGGAGAACUAAGAUAAAGAGAGCUCUAAAGAACGGAUACUAGAGAAAAGCCAUAAGAUUAGUGGCCAGUGUUCCCAAGAGCACAAAACCUUCAUUUCUGACUUGAGCGUCGGAGGGUUUACGCCGGGGAAACAACCGGCGUACUCUGACCUGCUUCUGUGUACGCAGGAACCUUAGGAGAAGAAGCCUUACGAGAAGAGAUCCUGGUCGUGGUGGAGUUGAUCGAGCAGAGAUCCUGGUCGUGGUAAAGAGGGCAACCAGAAUCUCGCAUCAACAAAAUCUGCCUUUGUCGAUGCUAUCUCACUGUCUUAAGGCCUAACUUCUUGAAAUUUUUUCUGAAAGAUACAACAGGAUCACUUAUCCACAAGCCUAGUCAGCAACUUGGACACUAUUUUCAGCAUUAGCAUUGACAUAAGAACAAAACGUACAAUUGAGCUUAUUAAAAAACAUUGCAGUUGAUUGGAUUGUUAAUAAGUAUGGCACCAUAUGGAUGAUAAAAUUAAGCAGGAAGAAAGAAAAAAUAAAUUUUAUUAUGCAAAAAAUAAACUACAAACUAGGCACAAUAAAUAAAUAAAAAUAAAUUUUAUUAUGCAACCCAGAAUUCUCCUUUGCUGUCUGCCUCAAUGUUGUCCGGAAAUUUUUGGAGCUGAGCAAAAGGUUGUGGAGGGCACAUAGCUCUAUGGUCAUGGAGCCAAAACCUCAGAACUCGCAUUGGGAUGGAUUCAGCCACUAAGAGGAACGUCUUGUCCUUGAUUAGGGCAACUCCAUUUGGAAAUGCCAAACCUCUGUACAUGAUGGUCACCUCAUUGCUGUAUGGAUCAUACUUCAAGUAACUUCCCGCUUCUGUCUCUGUUAUCGAUUACAGAAGAAUAUUGCCUACAAGAAUAGUAAUUCGGUGUAAGCAUUGUAAAAUAUUAAUCUGGAAUUGAUGAACAAGAAUUAAGAAAAGAAAAUAUCCUUCUUUGAAAAUACAUGCUACUGUCAAUAAAAUAAACGACUCCAGUACUAGGAUCGAUAUCCAAGGAAUAUACAUGCUACUGUCAAUAAAAAAAGAAAGACAAAUAUAAAUAAAUUAUCAAAUAAAAAAAUAUAAAUAAAUGGCACGUAAUGUUUAUUUUUCAUUUAUAAUAAAGUUUAAUAUACCAAAUGACUGGUGAGGUACCACCAUACCAGGCGGUGCAUGGAAAGAUGGGGAAUUUGGGACUUCCAGUGUGGCGAGAGACUGAGCAUGAGGGUGCUGCAGCGGCUGGGCAUCACUUAUGAGGUAGCUACUUAAUGACCUGAUCAUUUGAGUUUUGGGGAAUUUGGAUUUUGGAUCAAUUAGUUAGGGAGUUGAGUGAGUUUUGUAACUUUAAGAAAAUAGAAUUUGACUGUAAUUAUUAGUUAUAUCUUUAUUUUUUUACGAUAAGUUUUAAUAAGAGUAAAUUUACAAUUAACUAUUAUUAUUAUAAAAAAAACCUUAGCCUCCUCUUACCUCCGCCCUUGGUACCUGCUAAAACCAAAUACCCAAAUUAUGAAAACGAAGAGCGAGACGAUAUGUUACUGGAUUGUUAUCAAAAUUUGAAGCUAGAACUUAGCAAUUGCCCAAAGAUAAAGAUUUGCUAAGAUUUUAGACCCACAGACUUUUUAGUACCAAUUUAUCUUCUUUCCUUUAAGAAUGAUGGUGAUUUGUAGAGCCAUGCCCUGUAUUCAAAAUAAACAAAUUUGAAGAAUAUAUCUGCUGAUUCCGGUAGGGCAGGAGUCUCAUGCACAAGUUUCUCAUCUAUUUUCUUACCAGAACAAAUUUCUAGUCAAAAUGAGGGUGUGAAAGGAAGAUAAAUAGACGAAAUUUGGCCCACCACUUCAUUCUUCCUAAAUGAAUAGCUUUUUACCCUAUUAAACGAGGAAAAAUGGAUUAGAUUCUCCCUUAAUUUGAUCUGAUUAGUGAUUACUAAAUAAAGACCACACACUUUAUUGUAGUGUGUUUCGUCAUUUAAUACAUUGCAGUUUGUAUGUGGCCCUAGUUUUAGAUCACUUAAUUGGAAAGGGACUUCCCUUUUUUUUUUUUUUUGAUACAUUGGAGUCUAGUAAAACUAGGCUAAAACAGAAUGGGGAAUAGAGGUUCCAUAUAUAUCAUUACAUAACUAAUAACCAAGACCCUCGGGGGGGUUUUCAAAGACAUGAAAUCUAAGGGGUAAGGAACUAGCAAGUUUCACCAUGGAAUCUGCAGCAAAAUUGGCUUCCCGAUAUAUAUACUUUAUAGUAAUGAGCCAUUGUCUAUUUAUAAGUUCCUUUAUGGCAGUUAUGAGAGAAAAAAAUGUGCAUUAGGCAUCAAGCUAGUAGAGGAAAUAAGUUGGGAAACACAUUGGCUAUCCACCUCUGCAAUUUAAUAACGAAUGCCACAGUCCCAAGCAAUAUUAAGUCCUUGAAAAAGACCCCAAAGUUCUGCAGUAGUCACCGAUCCAAAUCCAAUGUUCAUGCCAAAGUCAAACUGCCACUUUCCAGAGCAAUCCCUCACCAAGCCCCCAGCGCUGGCUAGACCAUUCUUUAAUCAUGAUCCAUUAGUAUUUAAUUUGAAAAAAGAUUCAGGGGGAGCUUGCCAUCUAACAUCUUUGAUGAUCUUAUUACUCUGACCGAAACUAAGAGUUGAUCGUGCAUUUUGAAUGUCCUGAGCCCAAGAUUUAAUUUCAGCAACAACAUGAGUGCAGCAAGGGGAUUUUUGUGAGAAAAGAAAUUGAUUAUGCCAAAACCAAAUUUUCCAGAUAGCCACUCCAAAUUGAUUACGCCAAAACCAAAUUUUCCAGAUAGCCACUCUAAAUUGAUUACGCCAAAACAACAUGAGUGCAGCAAGGGGAUUUUUGUGAGAAAAGAAAUUGAUUACGCCAAAACCAAAUUUUCCAGAUAGCCACUCCAAAUAAACAUGCCCAUUCAUCCCCCACUUCAUUGAUACCAGUCUUUCCCAAGUUGAAAUAGAUCCAAUCACGAAUAUUAAAGGAGAAAAAAUGAUGUCUGAAGUUGACCAGAAUUAAACAAUUCCAUAUUCUCUUUGCAACAAAACAGUCCCUAAGUGCAUGCAUCGCGUUUUCUCUCUCAUGGUCACAUCUUUCACAAUUCAUUUUAUCCAGAAUAUGCCUCUUAAAAAGCUCCUCUCUAGUUUUAAAAAAAUUUUAACUCGUUGGGGCCCGGAAAGGGACUUCCUUAAUUAUUUUUCAAAAGCUCAUCCUACAAAACUCCAACAGAUGGAGUCCAAGUUCUAGAAUAGAUGAAUAAAUGAUGUCAAUUAAAUGGCAAUAGCCCACCAAGAAGACAGAGAAACAAGUUAGGAGAGAUUGUAGAGUAUACCAAAAGUAUUACAUCUAAUUAAUAUAUAUAUAUAUAUAUAUAUGUUAUCUGUGUACUUAUUUUAAAAAAUUAUUAUGUAAUUAAUAAUUAUAUUUAAUUAAACUAUACAUAUCAUAUAUGUAUUAGUUAUAUGUAGCACCUAUAUUAUACUCUAGAAUUUCUCACAAGAUAAUAUGUCAAUAUACCACAAACACAAAGUUUGAAUCCUGUGAAAUAUGUUUAAAAUUGACUCUUGUGGAAAUUAUUAUGUGGUGGUGAAAUGAUUAUGAUAAAUAAUAUAUUAACACAUGUCAAUAUAUAAUUAUGCUACAUCAAUGAGGGUACCAUUGGUUUCACAUUUUUAUUUUACGUCUUAACUUUUGUAUUGACAAUAUUAGUUUUGUAUUUUAUAUAUAUAUAUAUAUAUAUAACUACUAAGUUAUUUUUUGCAAUCAAUAAAUAUCUAAUAACUCAAUACUUUUAUAUUUAUGCUCAUAAAAUUUUUACUUUUUAAAUAAAUAUUAAAAUAUCUUUAAAAUAAUAAAUUAUAUUUUUUAAACACUAAUUAAAACAAAUAAUUUUCACAUUUAAUCUUGUUUUAGUUUAUAACAUGGACCAUUCGCUCACCACUUGGCAUAACUUUGUAACCUAGGUCUUGUUUGGAAUCGAAGUAUUACACCUUUUAAGUUACAACUGCCGUAAAAAUUUUGUAAUUAUAAAACAAAAAAUUAAUAGCUAUGAACUUAAUGAUUGCUUACUAAACUUUAGGUAUUUAUUUAUUUAUUUAAUUAAUUGUCUAAAAUUUACUUGUUAAUGUUAUUGACAAUACUUAUGUAUUGAUUAAAAAGAUGAAGUAAGGUAUUGAUCUUAUUGAUCACCAGAAAUAUUUUAUACUAGAUUGACAUAUUUGUGUAUUUAUUUUAACGUUAAAACUUUAAUUUCUCAUUUAUAUUGAUAAAAUUUAGAAAUGGGUAUUAUAUGUAGAUUUUUAAGCUCCUAUUAUAAAUUUAUAGUUUGACUUAUAUAAUUUAAUUUAUUUUUUGUGUUUUUAAAAGUAUUGUUUCAAUAUUUGUGAAGUAAAAACCCAUUGCAGGUUACGCGACGAUUUAGUAAUUGUUAAAACCUACAGUAGGUGAAUUUUUUUUUUAAAAGAAAAAACCCAUAGCGAGUUAAGAAUUUACUGAUUUAAUUACUUUUUUACAAGUGCAUGUUUGAUAAUGAUAAAAUCACUGCACUGAAAGAAAUUCUAUGAAGAAUAUAAUUCUUGUUCUGUAUUUUUAAUGAAAUUUACAGAAUUAUUUAUACAAAUAAAGACAAAGUAGCCGUUGAAAGGCUUAAUAAUAUUAAAGGAGAAUAAGUGAAUACUUCCUAAACUAUUGGACAAUAUCUUUAUAAAAUAGGAAUGAAAUAUUCCUACAUGAUAUUGACAUUCAUGUGCAAAAAUCGUGCUGGAGAUAUUUCUUGACAAAUAACUUUGACGGGAGCAAGUCGUGUGGAGUGAUAAACCCGUUCUUGACUUGACCGUUAAUGACUUUCCUUUUGGUAAUCUUGGUCUGCUUGCUUAACAAGUGGUACCCAUAACCCAUCCAUACAGCUAGGCUAGCUAAACAGCAUAAAUAAAUGUAUAACGAUUCUUAUAUAAAAAGCCACCACCCCAAGCCAAAAGAAAAAAAAAAUUGUGCUGAAAACAACAAUAUAAUUUCUUCAGUUUUUACUUGGAAACAAGAGAGAUGAAUACGAAGAAGCAGAAGCCAAAAGCUAUUGUAGUUGGAGGAAGCAUUGCUGGGGAAUCAUGCGCAAAAGCACUUAUUUCAGCAGACUGGGAUGUUGUUGUGAUUGAGAAAACUAGUGGACCCCCAACCCAAAACGCAACCGGUGCUGGCCUUGGACUCGAUCCAUUGGCUCAGAAAAUUGUUCAGUCAUGGCUCCAUGAACCUGAACUUUACAACAACACUUUACCUGUCACCAUUACUGAGGUAUAUAAUAUAAUAUAUUUAAUUUCUUUUUUCCCAGUAGAAUCCAGUAGUGCUUUGAAUUAUACUGAUCUCUUCAAGAUAUUAGUUGCACACGUGUAUAUACAAUGGUGUAUGGUUAAGAUUUGAUAAAAGUAUAUUUUGCUCUACACAAAGUACAAUUUAGAAUGGAAUCUCAUUGGGAAAAAAAUAUCUAUAUAUGUUGAAUAGAUAAAAUUUCAAUUUGUAUUUAAUUGCAGAACCUAGCAACAGAUGGGGAAAAGAAGAUCAGCUGGGUAAUAGGAAGAGAAGAAGGCGCUAAGUAUCUGACUGCAUAUUGGGCUGAUCUUCAUGGCCUUAUAUACAAUACUCUGCCACCUGAAAUAUUUUUAUGGGGUCACCGGUACCUCUCUUUGUUGAAGUCAACACCAACAAUUUGUUGAAAAAUAAUAAUAAUUAAAAAUUAUAUUUUUAAUUAUUUUAUUCUUAGCAUAGUAAUUCAUGUCUCCUAUAAAUAGCUAAGGAUUUCAUUCAGUCGAAAUCAUCCCAAAAUUGUUAAGCUUAUAAGUUUUUAAGCUUUUGAGAGAAGUGAGAGAAGUGUGUCUGGGGAAUUUAUCUUUCCUGCAGUGUCUGAGAGUACUGGGUAUAUUUGGGUUUCUGGGAAGUGAGAUUCGUUACUCAAAUAUUGUACUCUAUUAAUUGUUAAAUAAACAAUUAUUCUUUCUUGCCUCCGUGGAUGUAGGUUUAAUUACCGAACCACGUAAUUCUUGUGUCCUUUAUUUUUCUAUAAUUAUUUGGUGCGCUUGAUUCCGCAUUCUGCGCACAACACUCUUUCUGUAUUUCUGAAGACAAAUUAACUGUCAAAGUUAGAGCUAAGGAUCUUGAUACUAAUGAAAUAAUCGAGAUAGUAGGAGAUUUGCUCGUCGGAGCAGAUGGGAUCCUCUCAUCAAUUCGUCAGAGCAUUCUACCUGACUUCAAAUUGAGGUUUGUGCUUGCUUGUGAAUAUCAAUAAAAGUAAUUAAUUUUUGAGUAUUUUGUUUCAUAAAUUUCAAUGUGUUUUUAAUAGGUACACGGGAUACUGUGCGUGGAGAGGUGUUUUUAAUUUUUCAGAAAACGAUUCAGAAACCAUCUUAGGCAUUCGAAAAUCGUAUCCUGAUAUUGGGAAAUGCCUUUACACGAAUAUUGGUUCAGGAUCUCACAUCAUAGUCACUGAGCUUAAGAAAGAGAAGUUCAAUUGGGUUUGGUAUGUCAAUCAACCUGAGCCCGAGCUCAAGGUAACUGCUUACUUUUGUUUCAUCUUUCUAUUUUGUUUUCGGGGGUUCGAGUUGAGUGCUAAAAUCUAAUUUUUGCAAACGAUCAACACAGCUCAGACCAUCACCGGAUCCAUUUUUUUUUUUAAUUUUCCAGUUUAUCAAUGCAGUAUGACGUGACAUUGGGAAACAAAUUAUUUUAUUCUCUGCAGGGAAAUACAACUUCUGUGAAAGUAAGCAGUGACAUGAUCGAGGAGUUGCACCAAAGAGCAGAGCAGGUUUGGUUACCUGAAUUGUCAAGAUUGAUCAAAGAAACAAGGGAUCCUUUCCUUAAUGCUAUAUAUGAUUGCGAUCCUUUGGAGAAAAUCAUCUGGGACAGAGUGGUGCUAACAGGAGAUGCAGCUCACCCGACAACUCCACACUCUGCCAGAAGCACAAACAUGGCGAUAAUAGAUGCAGCAGUGUUAGGAAAAUGCCUCGAGAAGUGGGGGCCGGAUCAUUUAUACUCUGCUCUGGAAGAAUAUCAAUCCAUUAGGAAGCCUGUAACUUCAGCACAAGUUCUACAUUCGCGACGAUUGGGUCAAAUGAAACAGGGGUUAAGUAUUCCUGGAAGGGAGCGGCCUUUUGAUCCAAAGACAGCAAGUCUAGAGGACUCGGAAUUCAUCCUUAACAAAAAUGUGCCUCUUUUCGACGUUGUUCCUCCGAUUCUUGAUUCAAUUUUUCGUUCUGCUUGAUAACUUCAAAGGACACGGCUUGGUCUGUUCAUUAUGCUAACUAUAGCUGCCUAUAAAUAAGAGGGUUGACCUCAAUUGUGUGAGUAAAAGAACUGCUAUACUUAUGUUCCUUCCUGUAAUAACGAAAGCCUCUUACUUAAUUCAGUGUCUCUACUUCUUCAGCAAAAUAAAAAUAAAUUCUUGAUCGAAAUACACCCAACUUUUCCAAUUUUCUUAUAAAAAUGACACCACGAUAGGAUGGGAUUGUCCUUGUGUUGUGUCAUUGAUCUAUCCAUAUUUGUUUUUCCCAAAAACAAUUUCCAUGAAGGAGGAUGUUUUGCUGCUUGUUAGUGCACGCUAUUUAAGCACAAGACAUGAUUGAGAUUUAUGCAAGGUAUGUGGUAGAAUUUAUGUAAGACGACCGAUGAUUCAUAAGGAAAGCUAAACAUGAGAGUUAGUAACUUGUACUAUGGUGAUCAACGCGUUGAAGAAAAAUUUUAGAAUUUUUAUUAUAAGUGGUGCAUACAAAAGUUGGUGAGUCGAACUUGUACUCAAAUACUAGCUCAUGUAUUAGGAGUUGCCUUAGGCUUACGUUAUUAAUCUAGUAACUAAUAUUAGCGAUAUGAAAUAUUUUUUUCUAUCAUCUUCCAUCACAUGUGUGUAGGUCAAUCUUUUUGUUUGGUCCUUGUCUAGUGAUAAGACAGUGUGAGUGAUUUUGAGAGAAAAUAUGAAAAACACAAACAAUGAAAAUUCCCUUUUACUUAAACUAAGACAGAUUUUUUUACACUGAAGUUGAUAGAAGACACUCGAAUGCGCAGGAGUGAAAUCUUGACAAAUUAAAGCGAGAACUAAGACAUGCUAGUCCUUUCUCGCGCAUUUAGUUGACAUUAUUUUGCUUUGCAAAUAAAUGCGGGCAUGGUUGAAGGCAUUUUAUCUUUCCGGAAGUGGAUGGAGAAAUAAAUAUAAUUAAAAGGGAUGCGAAUAAUAAAUGCCAUUUUUUUCUGAAUAACGAAGAAUAUAUUAGAAAUAAAUUGAAAUGUAACAAAAUACUUGAAAUAAUUCAAGUGACGGGUUUUUUCUCUGUUAACAACGCGCGAUAGUUCCUUGUCAUGAGCUUCUUAUCUUCUGUCUUGAAGGAAGAAAUUGCAAAAGACGAAUAAAACGAUUUCCUUUACACAUGCAAUCAAUGCUGCUGCCUUUAUAUCUUUAUUAUUCUCGGAGGGAUGACACUGUUGAGAGCCAAAACCAUUACCCAUACUCACUCCUCUUAUAGCCAUGUCUAACUCUCUACAAUAAUUUUGAUAUUGCUGUUCUUCAGUUCUUCCACUACUCAACAAAUGCGAAGGUAUGCGAUGGCUCCACUCAUUCAAGUUGAUUUUACAUUUGUUACAAUCUACUCCCGCCGUUGCUAGAGCCUCUAUGGACAUGUUUUAACAAGGUGAAGGAGGAGCUAAAUAAAAUUCACAAUUUUCCUGAAAGUUUACAGCUUCCAGGAAAUUCACCACCUCUAUAGAAUUGUAAUAACAAGAAUUGUGGUCUCCGUAAAAGAAUUUAUAAGAGUUAAUAUAAAAGAUUUGUUUAGGAGAAUGAAUUUUAUACGGACUAGAAAUACUCAUGAUUAAUUAGUUAUUCAGAUGGUUUAGAAAUCCUCUCGAUAUCAGGAAGCCAUUUAAGAUUCUGAAUUGAGCCUCUUGUACAUAAGCUCAUCAAGGACGGUGUAAGUUCCAGAGGCCAAGUCCAUGUGCACGCCAUUCCCAAGCGUAGGAUAUGCCUUCCGGACGCCUUGUAUGGUUUCUGAAUUCUCAUUUUCCGAAAAAUCAAAAACCCCCCUCCAAGCACAUUCUUUACUUUUAAUUGCUUUGGAAAUUAAGGAUUCGUCAGCCGCCAGAUUCCGCAGUGAUUCUGUUGCAUUGGAUGUCUUCAAUUCAGAAACCUGAGUUUAGAGUCUGGUAAAAAAGUCUGGCGAACUGAUGAGCGGCUCCCGUCAGCCGCAACCAGCAAAUCUCCAGCUAUGUCGAUGACCUCAUCAGUUUUAAGAUUCUUAGCUUUGACAUUGACAGUUGAUUUGUCGUGAGAAAUGCAGAAAGUGAGGUACAAGUGACCCCAAAAAAAAUUUCCGGAGGCAGAGUAUUGUAUAUAAGACUAUGAAGAUCAGUCCAAUGUGCCUGUAAAUAGUUGAAAUUUUCAUCUCUAGCUAGUAUCCGACAGAUAUUCUUUUCCUGAUCUACUGCCCGAUUCUGCACAGAAAGAAAAAUAAAAAAAAUCAGCACAACUUGUGGGAACGUCAGUUGAAAUUAAAGCAAUUCUGUGUAGACACAUACAUUACCUGAUCAAUGGUGAGAGGUAAGGUGAUGUUGUGAAGAAGAUCAGGUUGAUGGAGCCAUGACUUAACUAUUUUCUGGGACAAUGGAUGAAGUGCGAUUCCAGCGCCAGUUGGGUUUCCGGUUGGAGGUCCACGUAUCUUCUCGAUCACCACCACAUCCCAACCUGCUAAAAUAAGCGCUUUUGUGCAUGAUAUCCCUGCUAUGCUUCCCACAACUAUUAUAGCUUUUGGCUUCCGCAUCCCCUCCCUCAUGUCUCUCUCUUCCUCUCAAACACCAGUAUGUGUGACACAAAGGGACGCUCGCGCAUAGAUAUAUUUAUAGACAGGGGAAAACUUCCCAUUCUGAAUUCAUAAAUCAGGAUGAGCCGGCAAUCAUAUGAACAUUUUUUUUAUAUUAUUGUCAAAAAAAUUUUAUACUAUUGUUAAUUUGACUCGGAUUUUAAUAAAAUUUAACAUCUCGAACCAAGUCACUACUCUAGAAAAUUUUUUCAAUCUGAACUUAUAUAUUCCAAUUCAAGAACAAGGUUUAAUAAUGUAAUGACCGUGAAAAUUAUUAAACCAUAUGGUUUAAUAGUGAAUGAUAUUAUACUAUAAAACCAUUUAAUAACUUUUCAAAUUUUAAUAAUAUUCAGGAUUCUAGACUAGAUCAGUACUAUACACACACACAUACACAUGCGGUGUCAGGAAUUAUUUUUAGCAGGCUCUAAGUUUAAAUAAUAAUUUACUUUAAAAAAUAAUUAAAAAAUAACAUAUAUCAAAAUAAAAAUUUAUUAAAAUAUUUAAUUCAAUACACUUAUAGCUGUUCUUGACUUGGUUUUAUAUGUUAAAAAUAUUAAAGAAAAAUCUCAUUAUCAAGGCUACAAAAUAUGUCUUUUUCUAUGUAUAUAACAAAUAUAUCAUUCAACUAUUGUUCUCCCAUUUGAUUUCACAGAUGAUUUUUUAUAAAAUUUAUAGUUGAAAAUGCCCUUUCUACUGUAUCUCUAGUAACUGGUAAAAUCAAUGCUAAUGUCACCAAUAAAUAAACUAAUGAAUAUAAUUUACCCUUCUUAGUCUCACCACAUUGUUAUUUUAUUAUUUAUUUGAAAACUGAUAAUAAAUUAUGAUUAAAUAUGUUCGCAGCAAUUACAAAGUCUUGAUACAAUGUUUCUAUCUCACAUGAUGACGUAACAUCAAUAUCGAUGAUCGCUAAUUAGGGAUUCCAUUAUCCUAUUUUCCCUCUCACAUGAUGAAUAAAUAAACAGCUUUAAAAUCUCGCGUCACCCAAUGUCUAGAAUGUACCCGGAGGCCGCAGCCUCAAAAGUAGUUAAAUUAAAUUCAAACUCUACAAACUCAAUAACAUGAUUACGUCUUAUUCUUUCUUAAUUGAAGUUGAUUUUUCAAGGAGGCAAUUUGUCCCGUCAUAUGCAGCCAAGUUAGAACGAAAAAAUGCUUAAUUCAAAUCUCACGGUCUUGAAGAAAUCUUUCUAGUCAAAAUAAACUCUCAAGUCAGAUUUUUCAAUCUGGCGAUAUGAAAUUUGCCUAAUAAAUCUCUACAUUCAGACAUCACGUUUAUGAAACCCUUGCAUUCAGAAUAAAUUCUUGCGGUAUAUCAAAAAAAAAAAAAAAAAAUCUUGCGGGUAAGGGGGAUCAAGUGCAAGAAUAAAGUUUGAUAAAAAUGAAUAAAAGGAAUAAGGUGAAUGUUUGUUGUGGUUUAUUUAGCAUAUGUUUGUUGUGGUUUAUUUAAUAACUAAAAGUUUUUACAAGUUUUUUUCAAAAUUUUUACUGUUGUUUGUUAGUAUUUUGGAUAGAGAGCUUUUGAGAAUUAAAUAAGUUAUUUUGCAUCUACAAAUAAAAGUGUAAAUUAAAUAAGUUAUUUUGGGCUUUUGGGAACAAAAGUUGUAGAGCAUUUUUCAAGUGUUCAAUUAUCUAACAUACCUUUUAUUUAUUUUACAUUUUUAUUCCAUUCUUUUCAUAGUAUGAUUUUAAAUAAAUUGGUCAAUUAAAGUAAUUUUAUAAUUUAAAUUUUUUAAUAAAAGUUCAUAUUGACAACCAAAUAAUUAAAAUAUUUUAGUAAAUCUCCACUUGAAACAACUUAAUUUUAUUAAAAGCUAGAGCAUAGAGUCAGUGACAACGCAGAAAUAUAAAAAGUUGAUUGAUAGAAGAAAUUAGGUUUCUAAAUAAUAAAAGUUUUGUUAGAAAAGUUUAAAUGAACAAAACUAGUGUUUUGAGCUCCUGUUAUAAUAAUCAUAAAUAUCACGAAUUUAUCAUAAUAAAAAAAAUUAAAAUAUCAUUUUAUAAUAAAAGGAAAAUUAUCAUUCGUAUACCCUAUAUUUGCUCUGUUAUCAAAAAUACUACAAUACUUUGAGAGUGUAUCAAUCGUCCACCCUAAGUUGACGAAAUGUAUUAGCCGACCACCAAACCGUUAAUUUUCGUUUGAAAGUUAACGGAAUUACAGUGAAUUAAUGAUUUUACCCUUGAAAAUUAUCACUUGUAUACCCUUAAAUUCUUUUUUUAUCACUUGUAUACCCUUAAAUGAUCACUUUUAUCAUAUGAAAAGACCAGAUUACCCUUAUGAAGUUAUCAUAUUUAAACGGCAACUAACGAUUUGGUGGUCGGCUGAUACAUUUUGUCAACUUAAGGUGGACGAUUGAUAUACCCUCAAAGUGUUGUAGUAGUUUUGAUAAUGGAGUAAACUAAGGGUAUACAAAUGAUAAUUUCCCAUAAUAAAAUCUCAUAAUCUAAAUAAAGAAACCACAAUAAACAACACCCAAAGCCAAUAUCUAAAAAAAAAGAUAAAAUCAUAAAAUUAAUAGGAAAAAUAGAAAAAUAACCUAAUGCUGAAAAAUGAUGAGGAAAAAAGUAACACUUUUAAAUCGAUCACGGGGCAUAACUAUGCGAGCUAUUAUGUUUGGUUUGUCUCAUUGCAGGCUUCGAAACAGUAUAUUAGAUACCUAAAACGAAUCCCUGUAACCUUAGUUAUGACCUCUAGAAAAUAAUCUGCUCAUCUUACGCAACAAUCCUACAUUAGCUAGCCCAGUUUGGGAUUGUGAUGACUGUUGAAAAUGUGAUUAAAAAAAAAAGUGUUAAAAUGAUGGGCAGUUGAGCCACCAUCUUUGAAUUCAAAGACGGUGGGUGGCUAAGCCAGUCACCAUCAUUGAACAAGGAAAAUGGGUGGGUGCCGCUCAUGCAAAGAAGAAAAAGAGGAAGAAAAGGAAGCCAAAAUUUGGCUAUAAAUAGAGGGGUUCUCCCCGUCAUUUAGGUAUCCAAGUUUUGGCAAGAAAUUGAGAAAGAGAAAUAUUUUUAAGCACGUAGUUAUAUUGAAGGAGUAUUUGACUCUUCAAUAUGGGUAUUACGGGUUUGCUUUGUUAGGGAAUAUUUAUAAGAAUCAUGUAUUUGGGGCUUGGGUGAGAGAAAAUUAUUUAUGAGAAAGUGGUUGUAAAAAUUUUCCACAUAGUGAAUAUUUUUUCUCUGAUUGUCUUUUGACAAUGGCCGUGGUUUUUCUCCGUAUUUGGAGUUUUCCACGUAAAUAUUGCGUUAUGUGAUUGGUGUAUUCUCCAUUUAAUUUUUCUGUUAAUUUGUUGCUUGACAAAUUGCUUGAAGUGAUCUUGGAGGAAGCCUAACAAUGACUUGUGAAAAAAACCGCUUCUAUAAAGCGAAUGAAUAAUCUACUUAUUAAAAUAGUAGCUUGGUGUUUAAUAAAGUGUGUUGUUGUAGUUGCUUUGAGUUUGGAAAAAAAUUACAUGUGUUUGAUAGAUUUUAUUGCGAAUGUGAUGUUUUGUUAUAUAAUGACCAAAAUAAUCAUAAUUUAAUUUUUUUAUUUAUAGAUUAGGAUGCAUGAAAAAUAAGAUGUAAUUGUUUCUUUGUUCAAACACUAAGGGCGUGUUUGGCAGCCCUCAUUAUAUAGUAUUAGGACUCCUCAUAGCAUUAAAUACUUAGAAUAGGGUUUGGCUACAAUGCCAGGCUCUCAAAAAGAGAGCCCGGCUGUCUUUGGCUGCCAUUUGGCAGCCAAAGACUUGGUGCAGCCAAUUAACAAACCGGUUGCACCAUAUUUUUUUUAAAAAAUAUAUAAAAAAUACAAUAUAAAAAUUAAAAAAAUUCAAAAUAUUUUUUUAUAAUAUAAUUAAUAGCAAAAGAUAAAUAAAUUAAAUAAUAUAAUACAAACCCUAUAAUACAGUAUAAUAUAAUGAAAUAAAAUGGCAAAAAAUAAAGAAAUUGAAAAUGAAAAAAAUAGUAUUUCAGGUUUAACGUUAGUUGUUGCAUGUUUGACGUCUUGAUUGCAUGUUUGACGUAAGAUGUUGCAUGUGUUAAAUAAAGCCAAAAUAAAGAAUAUUCCCGAAUAUUCUCGUCCGUUUCAUGUUUGACGUUGAAGUUGCGAACUUUACGUGAUAAGUUGCACAUUUCGCGUGAAGUGUUGCAAGUUUUAUAUUUAACGUCCGUUGUUGCAUGUCGGACGUCACGGUUGCAUGUUUGAGGUAGGCUGUUGCAUGUGUUGAAUAAAGCCAAAAUAAAGAAUAUUCCCGAGUAUUCUUGUCUAUUUCAUGUUUGACGUCGAAGUUGCGAACUUUACGUGAUAAGUUGCAUAUUUCGUGUGAAGUGUUGUAAGUUUCAUGUUUAACAUCCGUUGUUGCAUAUCGGACACCACGGUUGCAUGUUUGACGUAAGCUGUUGCAAGUGUUGAAUAAAGCCAAAAUAAAGAAUAUUCCAGAAUAUUCUCAUUCGUUUCAUGUUUGACGUCGAAGUUGCGAAAUUUACGUGAUAAGUUACAUAUUUCUCGUCAAGUAUUGCAAGUUUCAUGUUUAACGUCAGUUGUUGCAUGUUCGACGGAUGGAGUUCAUAUUUGAUGUAAGGUGUUGCAUGUUUUGAAUAAAGCCAAAAUAAAGGAUAUUCCCGAGUAUUCUCGUCCGUUUCAUGUUUGACGUCGAAGUUGCGAAUUUUACGUGAUAAGUUGCAUAUUUCGCGUGAAGUGUUGUAAGUUUCAUGUUUAACGUCAGUUGUUGCAUGUUCGACAGAUGGAGUUCAUAUUUGACGUAAGGUGUUGCAAGUGUUGAAUAAAGCCAAAAUAAAGAAUAUUCCCGAAUAUUCUCGUCCGUUUCAUGUUUGACGUCAAAGUUGCGAAAUUUACGUGAUAAGUUACAUAUUUCUCGUCAAGUAUUGCAAGUUUCAUGUUUAACGUCAGUUGUUGCAUGUUCGACGGAUGGAGUUCAUAUUUGACGUAAGGUGUUGCAUGUUUUGAAUAAAGCCAAAAUAAAGAAUAUUCUCGAAUAUUCUCAUCCGUUUCAUGUUUGACGUCGAAGUUGCAAACUUUACGUGAUAAGUUGUAUAUUCCGCGUGAGGUGUUGCAAGUUUCAUGUUUAACGUCAUUUGUUGCAUGUUCGACGGUUGGAUUUCAUGUUUGACGUACGAUGUUGCAUGUUUUGAAUACAACCAAAAUAAAAAAUAUUCCUGAAUAUUCUCGUUUGUUUCAUGUUUGACGUCGAUGUUGCGAACUUUACGUGAUAAGUUGCAUAUUCCGCGUGAGGUGUUGCAAGUUUCAUGUUUAACGUCAGUUGUUGCAUGUUCGACUAUUGGAUUUCAUGUUUGACGUAUGAUGUUGCAUGUUUUGAAUAAAGUCAAAAUAAAAAAUAUUCCCAAAUAUUCUCAUCAGUUUCAUGUUUGACGUCGAAGUUGCAAACUUUACGUGAUAAGUUGUAUAUUCCGCGUGAGGUGUUGCAAGUUUCAUUUUUAAUGUUAGUUGUUGCAUGUGUGAUGGGAGGAUUUCAUGUUUGACGUACGAUGUUGCAUGUUUUGGAUAAAGCCAAAAUAAAGAAUAUUCUCGAAUAUUCUCUCCCGUUUCAUGUUUAACGUCCAUGUUGCCAACUUUACGUGAUAAGUUGCAUAUUUCGCGUGAAGUGUUGCAAGUUUCAUAUUUAACGUCUGUUGUUGCAUGUUCGACGGUUGGAUUUCAUGUUUGACGUACGAUGUUGCAUGUUUUGAAUAAAGCCAAAAUAAAGAAUAUUCUCGAAUAUUCUCGUCCGUUUCAUGUUUGACGUCAAAGUUGCAUAAUUUACGUGAUAAAUUGCAUAUUUAACGUGACUUGUUGCGGGUUUCAUGUUUUACGUCUAUUGUUGCAUGUUGGACGUCGCGGUUGCAUGUUUGACAUUAGAUGUUGCAUGUCUUGAAUCAAGCCAAAAUAAAGAAUAUUUCUGAAUAUUCUCGCUUGUUUUAUAUUUGACAUCAAAGUUGUAUACUUUACGUGAUAGGUUGCAUGUUUGACGUAAAAUAUGGUAGGGUAGGUUUAUAUAAAAUAACUAAUUAUAAAAUGAGAGUGCAUUUCAAAAUUCCUUGACAAAUCAAGUGAUAAUUUAUAACUAGACUUAUUUUUUUCAAUUUUUUUUUAUUAAUUAAGUUUAAUUAAGCCAAUCUAUUAAGAAACAAAUGAAAAUAUAUUAAAAUUAAAUUAAAUUUAACUUUUACCCAAUAAAUAUAUUUAGGAAUAUAUCUAAUUAAACUGGUACACAAAUUACAAAUGUUUUCAUGAAAUUACACACAUAAGUUUAAUAGUCUAACUAUUUUUUACAUGAUUGAUAAAAUGAUGGCUUUGGAAAGAACUUGUGAUUCGAAAAGAAAAAUCUAGUUAAUUAUAAUAAAAUUACAUAUCUAAUCCAACAUUUUUUCCUUAUUUUAGUCAGAUAAUAGUUUUGAAAAUAAUUUGAUAAUUCAAGUGAUAAUGUCUAUUCUUAUUUGUUGUAUAAUAAUUUUUUAGGUGCAUUUCAUUUCAUUUUUAUUUUUUUAGAGAAUCUAAUCAUGGUGGAUAUUUUAAAUUACUAAGUCAUGAAAAUUUUGAAUUCAAUUGAAAUUUACAAUCUUUUAUGAAUGAAAAUAUACAGCAAGACAAAAAAAUUGAGAGAUAAAAAGAAAAUGUGGUAGAAAGAAAAGGCAACAUCAAUAUGAUCAUUUUCUAAGAAAAAUUAAGGCAAAAUCUUCCAAGUGAUAUGGUCAAUUUCAAUAAAAUUACAACUUACUAGAGUAAAUCCAUCUACUAAACAUCCAAAGUUCACAACAUAAUAUUUGAAUAUCACCAAUAACAUCCUCAAUCCGAUGAGUUGAGCAUUGGAGGGUUUAUGUUAGAAAAAUCUCCGACAUCCCUUGACUAGUUGUUAUGAACGCAAGCAUCCUUGGAGAAAGAGCUUAAGGUCCCAAGAGCCUAUUCGAUAAGAAAGAUAGAAGUACAAACCGACUCCCCAACAACUACUAAUUUAAGUGUUGGCGUGGUUGUCUAUUCACUUCACAGCUCGACGAGAAUUCAACAUCAACAAAUAUUUUAGAACCUAGUGUAUCUUCAAUCAUUUUGGAUUAAAUUGUAUGACACUUUUUUCUUUUCUUCUCUUUUUUUGUGAAAACAAAUUUUAAUACACUUAUUUUAAAAGAAAUUUGUUAAUGAAAAACAAAAUAAUGACAAUGAAGAGCACUCAUUUAUAAAAAUAAGCUACAAAUAGAAAAAUAAAAUUCAUAUAAGUAGAAUCUCCCAAAAAAUAAAAGCAUUGUCGAAUUGAGUUACAAACUAAUAAUAAUUUCAUCAAAGUUUGUAAACCAAAGAUUGUCCUAAUAUCAAAAAGUUUCCAAUAAAACACUUAUGCCAAAUAAUUUAUAGAACCUAGUAAUAUCCAACUGAAUUCUCCCCUGCAAAUAAUUAAAAUUUUCAAGUUAGUCAAUAAGAAAAAACAGCCAUCAAUCAUAAUAAGAAGCAACAGCAAAUUACACUAAAAAAAGGCAGAAAAAAGCACCAAAACAAAUAUAAACAAGAAACAACAAUUAAAAAAAAAACCCCAAAAUGGCAUAAAAAGAUGCUCAAAGCAGCAAUAAAUUUAUUAAAAAAUACCCUAAAAUAGCAGUGAAAAGUGCUUUAAAAAGCAUUAAAAAAUCCAAAAACAAUAGUAAACAUGCCUAGAAACAGUAGAAAAAAACCCCCUAAAAUAGCAAGAAAACUGCCUAAAACUAGAAAAAAAAUCUAGCAGCAAAAUCUUCCAUUGCCAAAUAAAGCUAUGAAAGAAAAGAAAUAAAAUUCAUAAAGAGUCAAAGCUAACAUACUGACCACUUGCUAGAAAUUAAGCUAUAAAUCCCAAAUUUUUACACAAAUUAGUAUCUGAAACAAGAUUGGUUUGAUAUAUGAUAGUCAAGUAAAAUACCUAUAAAGUAGUACAAAUUCAGCAAACCUAAUGGCUUCACUCCACUCAUUUUCUUAAGACUCCAGUGAUGAGAAGCCGCCAACAGAAUGAUAAAUUGAGGUUUGACAGGAAGCACACAAACUAAACAAGAUACAUAACAACUUUGUUAUCCAUGUUACACCCUAGAACCAUUUCUAGGAAUAUUUGUUAGAAUAGCCACCAUAACAGUUGAUGAACAACAUAAAACAAAGACAACAACAAAACCAACAACCUGCAAAGUGCCAAUUCUUCCAUAAUUAAAUCAGAUACACAAUAGAAAUAAUUUACUAUUAAAAUCCCAAAUUCAUUUUAUCUUCUUCCUGCAUUUUCUCAUCAAUCAAACAUAAAAGAGAGCUCCUAUCGACACAUGCAAACAGUACCCACCAUCUUGUCACGUUCAAACACAACCCAAGAUCACAAAAGUUAAUUUUUCAGAUUUAGUUAACCAAAGAAAAUAUACCAUCAACUGGAUCACCUUAUAAAUCAAAUACAAUUCCACGAUAUUACCAACCUCCCAAAAAAAAAGGCACAAAGUUUAAAAUGAAAACAACAAGACCAUGAAAAAUAAGCAAAAGUGGGUAUUUAAAUCAAACAUGAUAGAAUGCAACAAAAGCAAAAAAGCUUUCGAUAGAAGCCAGAGCCAGAUGGGGUACAAGCAAGCUAGGAGGUACCAAUUAAAGAUGCUUCAUUCAAGAACAGAAAAGCUACCAGAAUGAUAAAAAUAGAAAAAAUGAAACAAUAAACAUAAACUUGGGUGAAAGCUGCAACAAUAGUUUCAAUCACUUAACAGUACCAGCAAACUUAUAGUAAACUUUAAGAACUAGAUGUUUAAGCCACAGAUAACGGGGACGUACCCAUGAGGAUAAAGACACAAGCGUGAGACCAGCAAAAAGUCGAAUGAAAAAGGAGGCAACGACGGUAGCGACGGAAACAGCUGGAUCGAAAGCGAACAGCUCAAGAUGAAAGCAACAAGUUAAUGGAUUGGAUUGUGUGCGCGAGAUGUGGCUUCGAUUUUAUUUGAUUAGUCAAGAAAUCGAAGAGAGAAAUUAGAGAGAAAUUUGUGAUUUCUGAGAGAGAGGCAAGAAAUUGAGAGAGAUUGGGCACGGUUGAAACACCUAAAUUACAAAAAUAUAAAUUUUGCAGCCUUUGGGAACUGGUUGCUUCGGUUGCCCUUUUUUUGUUUUUUUUUUCUUUUCAAUGUCAGCCGUUGGAUUCAUUUUACUUGAAUCCAACGGCUGCGUUUACAAGCCGGCACGAUGCCGGGCCUCAAUGCCCGGUAUUGUAGCUUUAGCCCUUAGAAUAUCAUGUUUGGUGACUAUUCCUCACUGUAUUUUUAUGUGGUCAAAAGAAGCUUGUAAUGCGGUCAAACCCGCAUAAAAUAAACUCGUGUGAGAGUCGGGUUUAUGCGGGUUUGUAAUUGUUUUGAGACAAAAAAAAAAUUCGCUUUCAUUUUCGUUCUCCUUGUCUGUGUAGUGGCUCGCCUGCACCUCCACACAUCCACUCCACAAAUCUCAACUCCACACCACCACUGCCUCAAACACCACCAGCUCCAUGUGAUCUGCCUUUAUACCGUCACUGUCUCACGACACCACCGUGACACCACCAGCUCCAUUGUCUUCCCGAUCUACCUCCGCGACGUGCGAGACCGCUGCGCGGCAUGCCUUCGCGACACUCCACCACCAUGCUCCACUGCCUUCAUCAUGCCGUCGUGCCUUCGUCAUUUUUGAAACUGUGAGGGUCUUAUCUUUGUGUUAGUAUGUUAGAUCAUGCAUGCUUUUUUUGUGCUUGGUUUGAUUAUUAUUCUUUUAGAAAAAGGAUCAUUUGUUGUUUUUGUGAUUUACUUAGUUUCUAAUAUAUCUUCAGUUAAGAAAAUAGAAUGGAGUCUUCUUGUUGCCUUUAAAUUAAAUUGAUAUUUUGUUUGAUUAUGUUAUUGUGAGGCUUUGAUUGAGAUUUUGUUACUUUAUGUUGUGAAUGGAUGAGUUUAUAGAUCUAUGCCCGACAAUUGUUUGAUGAAUUGUCUAAAAGAAAAAGAAUUUGGUGCUUUGCUUCACUAAUUGUGGCCUAGAAAUUAUUACCACAUGUAGAAGUAUUUCCAAUCCGUAGUUGACUUUACAUUAAGAAAAAAUUAUCCUAAUUGUUUGGCUAAAGUAUUUUUGUGGGUGGAUUUUUGGCAAAUGUAGCUUCAGCCUUCAUGUGUAAACCAAAAAAAUAAAUAAAUAAAAUCUCGCAGGAUUGUACUUCAUUAAUGCAAUACCAAAGCACAAGAUGAAGCGUUAUUGUCUGUGAAUGGUUAUUUUUGGAAUGAAACAGGUGGCUUGUAAAAUUUGCAAUUAUUCUUGACAACUAGUACUUUCGAUUCUGGAUUUGCAAAUUAAUAGUAAUAAACAUCAUGUAAUGGUAGAGAAAUUAAUAUUGAAAAAGGAACUUGAAAAUCAUUAAGAUGAAAUCUUAUGAAUUUACUUUAGUUCUUGAAAGGAAGUAUUGAGGCAAAACAGAAUUAAAGAACAGAGCUAUUCUAGAGCCAUUAAAUUUAGAAAAGAACCAAAAAAAAAUUAAGUUAAUGAUUAGAAGAAACAACGAUCUGAUAUAAAGGAAUUUGAAAUUAUAUUGAUAAGAAACCAAACUUAUCUUUUUACGUUAUGACCUUGUGCAGUGUCACCAUGGGUAACUUUUUUAGCAUAUGUAUGGCUUCCAUUGCUGACUUUGCUGUCAUGAUUUUGCCUCAGUAUUUUGUUUUACUACUGUUUUGAUUCUUGACUUAUUCUGCUUUUGGUCAUAUCUGUAUGGCUAGAUAUUGCAUUUUCUCAUCUUUGAGGAUGCCUUCUUGCUUGACAACAAACUUUUUCUGCUUCUAUUACUCGAAUCUAUCUCGUUCAAGGAUCUAAUGGCAAAAAAUUUAAGACCUCUAUAUUUAGUUUUUUUAAGUACUAAUAAAUAUUAUUUUAUAAAUAUAUAAUAUAAAUUAAUCACAAAAAAUUAAUACAGUACAAUGCAACACCAAACAUAGUAUAACUAAAAAUUAAUACAGUACAGUGCAACACCAAACAUUGUACAACAUUGUUAUAAUACAGUGUUAAUGCAAUACAGCAUAAUAUAAUACACCAGCAUAAAAAUAAUGUAAUACAACAUAAUACAAUACAGUGUGUCAAACGCACCCUAAGGCUAUAAUAGGAACUUAAAAAAGGUGUGGUGUCUUAUUUGAUACUUAUUUAUAAAUAGCAACUGUACAUACUUUGAAAAGUUACUGUAAAAAAAAAAAGAAACUUAUGAAAUAAGUGGCUUUUAAAAAAUUUAUCUAACACUAUUUAUUACUAUAAGAGAGCUCUAUAUAUAUUAAAUUCUUUUAGGUAAAUUAAAUUUUGCCCCUUUGAUUUUGAGGUCUGGCUACAUCACCGAUUGAAGCUUGUGAUUUUUUUAUUUACUAGUGCAUGAAAUCUUUAAUUUUGUUAAUAUAUUAGUGGCAUCAAUGAAUUAUUCUCUCUUUCUCUCUAUAUAUAUAUGAGAAAGGUGAUCAGGUCUGCAACUAUAUAUCAAACUCCUAGAUUUUUUUAAUCUUAAUCUUCAAUGAAUUAUUACUAUAAGAGAACUGAUCAAGUGCGUGGCUAUAUAUCAAACUCCGAAAUUUUUGGUAUUGUAGGCAGUUUUGAUCUUAAUCUUUGGCUAAGGGUAUAAUUGGGAUUGCAUUAGCUUGGUAAAUAAUCUAUCCUCAUAUAAAUUCUCCAAUAACUAACUUUGCAAAUAAUUUGAUGAGAUGUUUGGUAAAAUUGGAUUAUAAGGUAGGGAUGGCAAUGGGGAGGGGACCAAUAUCCCCAUACCCAUCUCCGAUAUUUUGCGUAUGUCCCCGUCCCCUCUCCGUCCCCGUCCCCGUCAGAAUUACUUGAGAGAAUCCUCAUCUCUUCCCCGAAUAAUAACAGGGGAUCCCCGAGGGUCCCCGAUCCCCGAAUAACUAAUAGUCUAAUACAUUAUUUUUAUUUUCGUUUUUAAAUUAAUCAUAUUAAAAUAAAAAAUUCAGAUAAAAAUAAAGUUCAAAAUAUAUCUUACAUUAAUAUUGAUCCAUUACAAAGUCACAUUCAAAAUAUAAAUUAUUAAAAUAAUUAUAAAACAAUGAAAAUAAUAUAAGUAAAGUAACUUAUAAGUGCAAAUAUUAAUAACUGUAUAAUAUAAUCACAAUGUAAAAUAAACUCAUACUGUUAUUGUAAGCUCGUAACCAACUUUGACAGCACAUUAAGGCCUCCAAUGUGCUUGGAUGAAGUUUGUUACGAUGUGGGCUCACAACUCUACCACCAGUACUAAAAGUUGAUUCAGAAGCAACUGUUGUAAUUGGAAUUGCCAAAAUAUCUCUAGCAAUUCGAGCUAAUGUAGGAUACCUAUUAGCAUUUAAUAAUAUAAAUAUUUUGAUAUUUAUUAUUUUUAACAAUAUUUAUAAUUUUAUUAUUUAUUUAUUAGUAAUUUUAAAAAUAAAAAUUAAAUUAAAAAUUAAAAUGGGGAAAUAGGUAGGGGAUGGGGAUUCCACCUCAUCCCCGUCCCCUCCCCGAAUAAAAAAUUGGGUAUAAAAUUAUCCCAGUACCCUCUCCGAAUGGGGAAAAUCCCCGAAGGUACCCGUCCCCGUGGGGAUUUUUGCCAUCCCUAUUAUAAGGAAAUCAAUUAUUAAAUAAUUUACUUAACAUGUUUGUCGUAUUAAUCAAAAAAUUGUGUUGUGUGCAAAUUACCAAGAUGGACAAGUUUUCUUAUAUAGUAAUAUAUAAUGAUAAUUAUGACGAUUUAUUNNNNNNNNNNNNNNNNNNNNNNNNNNNNNNNNNNNNNNNNNNNNNNNNNNNNNNNNNNNNNNNNNNNNNNNNNNNNNNNNNNNNNNNNNNNNNNNNNNNNAAUUUCUUUUUGCAUUCCAUUCUUUGUUGAACUAUUUAUUGCACGAGUGGAGGACGAAUUCUAAAUACAUUUGAAAUAAUACAAUCAACCAAUGCAUGCACACCACUUGUAUGGAGAUUUUUCAAAAAUAAAUGCACACAUGUCAUAACAUUAUCUACUUGUUAUAUGACUGGCAUGAUAUUUUUUAUGUAUUCUAAAAUUUUUCUGAGUGGAGACCAUGAGUGGUAACAUCCACGUGACAAAAGAGUAUUACAAAGAGAUAGUCUCUUGUCAAUUUGAAUAUUUAUUGUAUUGAAUCUACUAAGUAUAUAAGCUCGGACAACCCUAAUUUCAUGAUGAGGGGUUAAAGACAAUACUAUUCUAAAAGAAAAUGGAACGAAAUUGUCCAUCCAUAGCCAUUAUUUGACUUUUAGAUUUGCCCUUCCAAAUUUUAACAAAAUGCGCAGACGAUUUUUAAUUUAUUCAUGUGAACGAAGUACAACCAAAUUAUUGAACCAAUCAGAACCAAGAUGGAAAUGAUCAUAAGCAAAAGCAAUUUGCAAGGACGAAUGGAAGCAGAUAAAUUAUUCUAAUUAAGAGACUAAGUGCAAGUGAAAUAACUGUAGCACUGAUUAUUCGAGUAUGGAGGGAACGUCGUCGAAGAAGGGUAAACGUCUCUGUUUCAGGAUUUCACAAUCCUCAGGACUUGCUGUGUUUGGAUCAAAAGGCUCACGAUCAGGGGUAGGUAAGCCGAGUUUUAUUUGACCCACUCGCCGCGAAUGCAGGACUUGCUUGGUAGUGACAGGUAGCCUAACAGAUUGAUGUUCUUCCAGAGCUGAAUGUAAAUUUUCUGGCCCCCACCUCUCAAGGCAUUUACCUAAAACUGCUGCAUCAGCUAUGGCCAUGUUUGUGCUUCUUGCACAGUGAGGGGUUAUGGGAUGAGCCGCAUCUCCAAUUAAGACCACAUUGUCCCAGUAUAUUAGUGUCAAAGGGUCACAAUCAUAUAUAAGGUUAAGGAAAGGCUCCUUUGUUUCUUUUAUUACUCUUGCAAACUCAGGAACCCAAAUCUUCUCUGCUUCUUGGUGCAUCUUCUUGAUCAUGUCACUGCUCACUUUCAUUGUAGCUGAAUCUCCCUGAAAUUACUUAAUCAAUUUAUUAAAGCUAGCUCUGCUAACACGUAUGUAUAUAAAUGAUAAAAUGAAGCAAGUUAGGCAAUCGCCUUGAGUUGAGGCUCAGGUUGAGAGAUAAACCAAAUCCAAUUGAGCCUCUUGUACAUAAGCUCAUAAAGGACGGUGUGAGUUCCAGGGCCCAAGUCCACGUGCACGCCAUUCCCAAGCUCAGGAUAUGCCUUCCGGAUGCCUUGUAUGGUUUCUGAAUUCUCAUUUUCCGAAAAAUCAAAAACACCCCUCCAAGCACAGUAACCUGUAUACCUGAAAAACAGAAAUGAAAAAUAAACCGUAAAUUUCAAGACAACCGAAAAUAUGAAAAUAUAAUAUAAUUUGUGCAGAAACCUGAGUUUAGAGUCUGGUAAAAAAGUCUGGCGAACUGAUGAGCAGCUCCCGUCAGCUGCAACCAGCAAAUCUCCAACUACGUCGAUGAUCUCAUCAGUUCUAAGAUUCUUAGCUUUGACAUUGACGGUUGAUUUGUCGUGAGAAAUGCAGAAAGUAAGGCACAAGUGACCCCAAAAAACUAUUUCGACAGGUAGAGUAUUGUAUAUAAGACCAUGAAGAUCAGUCCAAUGUGCCACUAAAUAGUUGAAAUUUUCGUCUCUAGCUAGUACCCGCAGAUGUUCUAUUCCCUAUCUACUGCCCGAUUCUGCACAAAAAGAAAAAUAAAAAAAGUCAACGCAAGAGCUCAAAUUAAAGUAGUUCUGCGUAUAUACGUACAUUACCUGACCAAUAGUGAGAGGUAAGGUGAUGUUGUGAAGAAGAUCAGGUUGAUGGAGCCAUGACUUAACCAUUUUCUGGGACAAUGGAUUAAGUGCGAUUCCAGCGCCGGUUGGGUUUCCGGUUGGAGGUCCACGUGUCUUCUCGAUCACCACCACAUCCCAACCUGCUAAAAUAAGCGCUUUUGCGCAUGAUAUCCCUGCUAUGCUUCCCCCAACUAUUAUAGCUUUUGGCUUCCGCAUCCACUACCUCAUGUCUCUCUCUUCCUCUCAAACACCAGUAUGUGUGACACAAAGGGACGCUCGCGCAUGGAUAUAUUUAUAGACAGGGGAAAACUUCCCAUUCUGAAUUCAUAAAUCAGGAAGAGCUGGCAAUCAUAUGAACAUUUUUUUAUAUUAUUGUCAAAAAAAUUUUAUACUAUUGUUAAUUUUGAUAAGGACAAGUCACAAGCAACAAAUAUGGUAGCUUGUACCGCCAUGGCAAGAGGAUUUCCAACAUCUCGUCUAAGCCAUAAUUGAUGGAAAAUAUAGCAACACAUGUCAUGGUGGACUCAUCACAACGGCUAGUUGAUUAUUAUAAUUAUUGUAAAUAUUGUCUUUCCUUGUACAACAUCUUGAACGUCUUUAUAUAUUUGUAAAAAUCAAGAAUUGAAAAAGUAACAAAAACAAUUCCUAUUUUCACCAUAUUCAAGCAUCUCAAAUAUUUUCAUGGUAUCAGAGCCUAAUGGCUUCAAGUUCAAAUUCAGAACCAUCCCUAUCCCUUCAAUCUUUCCAUCAGUGUUCGAGUUUGGUUCCAAUAAAACUCAACACUGAAAAUUAUCUUAUUUGGAGUUCUCAAGUUCAACCACUUAUAUUUACCCUUGGGCUAAAUCACCAUAUAGUUGAUGUUAAGACUCCACCAAAGAUGAUAGAGCAAGAUGGGAAGGAGAUAAAUAAUCCAGAUUUUCUCAUGUGGAAAAAUAAUGAUGGACUUCUCACAACUUGGCUCAGAAGUAUGAUGAACGAAGACGUGUUGAGCAUGGUUAUCGGCUUGCAAACGGCUCGAGAAAUCUGGCUCACCGUUGAAGAAAACAUGCUGCCUGCAACUAAGGAGCAAGAAACAUGGCUAAAAGAUAGCCUUUAUUCUCUAAAGAAAGGAUCUUCCAAGCUUGAUGAAUUUCUUAAGAAAUUCAAGGGCCUUUGCGACAAGUUGGCAGCCAUUGGAAAACCAAUGAAUGAUGAUGACAAGAUUUUUCAAAUUGCAAGAGCCUUAGGUCCCAAAUAUGCUGACUUCAAAACUGCAAUGCUCACUAAACCUCCAUAUCCCAGCCUUAAACAAUUCAUCAAUGCUCUCCAAAACCAUGAACAUACUGUGAUCGUAGAAAAAGAUGAAUAAGCUAGACUUGGCACAAAUCAAAACCAAGCCUUCUUUGGUCAACGCGGAAGAGGCAGAAAUCAAAGAGGUGGAAGACCUCCAUACCGAGGCAGAGGAUCUCAACGCAACUCAGGUGGUAGAAAUUACCCCAACAACUACAACAAUUACAAUGGCAACAACCGUAAACCACAACAGCAGCCUCAAAAACCAAAUAAAGAAAAUAAUACCUCAGAUGAAGAAGUUAUUUGCCAAAUCUGUCACAAACGCAAACAUAGUGCUGCUGAAUGUUGGUACAGAUACAACUAUGACAAUGAAGAGGAUCCACAGGCCCUAGCUGCCAUGAAUCUUCAAGAAAAUAAUGAUCAACAGUUCUAUGUGGAUUCUGGAGCAACAUCACACAUGACAAAUAACACAGGUAAUCUUGAUCAUGUAAGGCCGUAUAGAGGUAAUGACAAAAUAAUUGUCGGCAAUGGUCAAGAUUUAAAUAUUUCACAUAUUGGUUCUGCUUCUUUAAAUACAAAUCAUGGUUCUUUACACUUAAAUAAUAUUUUAGUUGUUCCAAAACUCAAAAAGAAUCUCUUAUCAGUUGGACAACUCAUUGAUGAUAUUAAAUGUGUUUUUGAAUUUAACACUGAUGGUUUUAUUGUGAAGAGCAAGGAAAACAAGGUUCUGGCAAAGGGGAGUAAGCAAGGGAAGCUAUACACAUUGGAAGGAGACUUUCAUGCUGCCUUCAACGCAAUUCAAGGAGAAUCUAGCGGUUUUAGUUUAUGGCACAAGAGGCUUGGCCAUGCCAAUCCUAAAAUCUUGGAGGCCUUAAAACGCAAUGAUUUUAUUGACUUUUCUAGUUGGUCUAAAGCACCCCGUAUUUGUGUUUCUUGCCAAUUAGGCAAGAGUUGUAGGAAAUCUUUUAAUUUAUCUAAUAAUAAAGCAGAUUUUCCUUUACAAAAAGUGCAUUGUGAUAUAUGGGGUCCAGCUCCCAUUACUUCUACUCAACAUUUUCGUUGCUAUGUAUUAUUUGUAGAUGAUUAUUCACGUUUUAGUUGGUUAUAUCCCUUAAAACAAAAAUCUGAUUUCUUGGAGUGCUUCUUGAAAUUUCAGAAACAAGUUGAAAAGCAAUUGGACAAAAAGAUCACAAUAUUUCAAAGCGAUGGAGGAGGGGAAUUUAAUUCUACAGCCUUCAUCAAACAUCUUGAAAAUUGCGGUAUCACAAGACAAAUUUCUUGUCCAUACACUCCGGAGCAAAAUGGUGUUGCCGAGAGAAAGCAUAGACACAUCAAUGAGACAGCCUUGACGAUGAUGUUUCAUGCUUCUUUGCCACUCAAAUUAUGGGUGGAUUCUUUUCUUGCAGCCACUUAUAUCAUUAACAGACUGCCUCUUUCACCUUUAAAAAAUAAAAGCCCUUAUGAAAUUCUUUUCAAAAAAUUACCGGACUAUAAAGGGUUAAAAGUCCUAGGUUGUAGAUUUUUUCCUUAUCUUCGGGAUUACUGUAAAACAAAAUUUGAUAAAAAAUCAUAUCCAUGUGUUUUCAUAGGCUAUAGUCCCCUCCAUAAAGGAUAUCGUUGUCUACAACCUGAGACUAAUCGUGUAUAUAUAUCAAGGCAUGUUGUAUUUGAUGAAAAUUAUUUACCAUUCAAAAACUUAACGUCAUUUUUUAAUGUGCAGGAACAUAGUACAUUGACCACCUUCCCUCAACAAGAUGAGUGGCUCCCAAAGAAUUCUCCCAAUUGUGAGAAUCUUAAUGAUUCACAUGCUGUCAAAGUAAACAAUUGUAAAGGCGCUACAAUAUCAACACCACAUGUGCAAUUCAUGCCCCACAAGCAUGUGAACUUGGACAACAACUCAAAUGUUACUUCUCCAAUUAUUUCAAAUUUCCCACAAGAGAAUUUAGAGGACAAUUUGAAUUCAGCAACUCCACACGACAAGUCAGAAGCAAUUCCAAAUAUUUUGGAGUCUCCACAUGCAAUGCAUCCUUUGACUACAAAUGAUUCAAAUUCUAGUAGUUCACAUGCAACUGAACCACCUAAUUUGUCCAGAAAUACGAACAACAGCCCUGCCACAAAUUCACAACCAGAUUAUCCUGACAUAUCCAAUCGCUUAUUUGUGGAACUUAAGAUACCAAACACAGCUGCGGAACCGCAAAGCCUAAAUACUCAUCCCAUGAUGACACGCAAUAAACUCAAACAAAAUCCUAAAUUAGCCCUUCAAGCCAGCCACAGUAGAGAAAUUGAACCUAAAACACUCAAAACAGCCUUAAAGAAUCCACUUUGGACUCAAGCUAUGAAAGAAGAGCUUCAAGCAUUGCAUCAAAAUCAGACAUGGGUCCUUGUGCCGCGGCCUAACAAUGUUAAUGUCAUCGGAUCGAAGUGGGUAUAUCGUAUCAAAUACAGAGAAGAUGGAACCAUUGAUCGCUAUAAAGCUCGAUUAGUUGCCAAGGGAUUCACACAGGUUCCAGGAGUCGACUUCGAUGAAACCUUCAGUCCCGUUAUAAAGGCCACAACUAUUCGCCUUAUCCUUGCAAUUGCUGUGAGCUCAAAAUGGCUUAUCAAGCAGCUAGAUGUUCGCAAUGCUUUUCUUCAUGGACUAUUAAAGGAGACUGUCUACAUGGAGCAGCCUCCUGGGUUUCGCAAUUCACGUCAUCCAGCAUAUGUUUGCAAGCUUAAAAAAUCGCUCUAUGGCGUGAAACAGGCACCUAGAGCGUGGUUCGAGUGUCUUUCUCAAGCCUUAAUUUCUCUUGGAUUUUCUAGUAGCAAAGCUGAUAGCUCUUUAUUUAUAUUUAAUAACAAAUCCAUUCUUAUACUUAUAUUAAUUUAUGUUGAUGAUGUGAUCAUUACAGGAAAUAAUGAGAAGGAAAUUCAAUCAAUCAUCAACAAUCUGAGCUCAAAGUUUGCUUUAAAAGAUCUUGGCAACCUACAUUACUUCCUAGGCAUUGAAGUUCAACAAUUCACGCAUGGCAUCUUUCUAUCUCAAGCGAAGUACACUAAAGACCUUCUUUCCAAGGCAAGAAUGCAGGAUUGUUCUCCUAUCAACACGCCGAUGGCUAUACGAUCAAUACCGUGUUCGGAUGAUAAUGAACCUGUGGAUGCAACUGAAUAUAGAGGCCUUGUUGGAAGCCUUCAAUAUCUCACCUACACAAGGCCCGAUAUCACAUUUGCUGUCAAUCGAGUCUCUCAACACUUCCAAGCACCAACAAAAGCCAACCUCAAGGACGUGAAAAGGAUCCUUCGUUACCUUAAAGGUACCCUUGACUUUGGCCUUAGAUUUUUGUCUCAAAGCUCUCUCAAGCUCUAUGCCUUUUCCGAUUCCGAUUGGGCUGGAUGUCCGAUAACAAGACGAAGUACAACAGGAUUUUGCAUUUAUCUUGGAAGCAACUGUAUCUCUUGGAGCUCCAAGAAACAACACACAGUCUCUCGCUCAAGUGCCGAAGCCGAAUAUAGGUCCAUGGCCUCUGCCGCUGCCGAGUUAACAUGGCUCACAUAUCUCCUUAAUGACAUUGGGUUCUGUAUUCCGAAAGCACCCACACUUCUCUGUGACAAUUUGAGUGCAAUUCAUAUGACUAAGAACCCAGUGUUUCAUGCUAGAAUGAAACACAUUGAGCUUGACGUGCAUUUUGUUCGUGAGAAGGUUGCUAAAGGGUCAUUAUUUACACGAUAUGUGCCUUCUCAUCUUCAGAUUGCAGACACUCUUACAAAACCUUUGGGGAAGCAUCAAUUUCUCACGCUACGAACCAAGCUAGGCGUUCAUCGCAUGUCACUGCCUAGCUUGAGGGGGGCUGAUAAGGACAAGUCACAAGCAACAAAUAUGGUAGCUUGUACCGCCAUGGCAAGAGGAUUUCCAACAUCUCGUCUAAGCCAUAAUUGAUGGAAAAUAUAGCAACACAUGUCAUGGUGGACUCAUCACAACGGCUAGUUGAUUAUUAUAAUUAUUGUAAAUAUUGUCUUUCCUUGUACAACAUCUUGAACGUCUUUAUAUAUUUGUAAAAAUCAAGAAUUGAAAAAGUAACAAAAACAAUUCCUAUUUUCACCAUAUUCAAGCAUCUCAAAUAUUUUCAAAUUUGACUCGGAUUUUAAUAAAAUUUAACAUCUCGAACCAAGUCACUACUCUAGAGAAAAAUUUCAAGAAUAUAUCUGUUGAUUCCGGUAGGGCAAGAGUCUCAUGCACAAGUUUCUCAUCUAUUUUCUUACCAGAACAAAUUUCUAGUCAAAAUGAGGGUGUGAAAGGAAGAUAAAUAGACGAAAUUUGGCCCACCACUUCAUUCUUCCUAAAUGAAUAACUUUUUACCCUAUUAAACGAGGAAAAAUGGAUUAGAUUCUCCCUUAAUUUGAUCUGAUUAGUGAUUACUAAAUAAAGACCACACGCUUUAUUGUAGUGUGUUUCGUCAUUUAAUACAUUGAAGUUUGUAUGUUUUUAAAUUGGCCCUAGUUUUAGAUCACUUAGUUGGAAAGGGACAUCCUAUAUUAUUUUUAAAAAGCACAUCCUAUAAGACUCCAACAGAUGGAGUCCAAGUUCUAGAAUAGAUGAAUAAAUGAUGUCAAUUAAAUGGCAAUAGCCCACCAAAGAAGACAAAGAAAACAAGUUAGGAGAGAUUCUAGGGUAUACCAAAAGUACUACACUUAAUUAAUACAUAUAUGCUAUAUGUGUAUUUAUUUUAAAAAAUUAUCAUGUAAUUAAUAGUUAUAUUUAAUUGAACUAUACAUAUCAUACAUGUAUUAGUUAUAUGUAGCACAUAUAUUAUACUCUAGAAUUUCUCACAAGAUAAUAUGUCAUUAUACCACAAAGUUUGAAUCCUAUGAAAUAUGUUUAAAAUUGACUCUUGUAGAAAUUUUUAUGUGGUAGUGAAAUGAUUAUGAUAAAUAAUAUAUUAACACAUGCCAAUAUAUAAUUAUGCUACAUCAAUUAGGGUACCAUUGGUUUCACUUUUUUAUUUUACGUCUUAACUUUUGUAUUGACAAUAUUAGUUUUGUAUUAUAUAUAUAUAUAUAUAUAUAUAUAUAAUUACUAAGUUAUUUUUUGCAAUCAAUAAAUAUCUAAUAACUCAAUACUUUUACAUUUAUGCUCAUAAAAUUUUUACUUAUUAAAUAAAUAUUAAAAUAUCUCAAAAAUAAUAAACUAUAUUUUUUAACACGAAUUAAAACAAAUAAUUUUCACAUUUAAUCUUGUUUUAGUUUAUAAUAUGGACCAUUCAUUCACCACUUGGCAUAACUUUAUAACCUAGGUCCUGUUUGGAAUCGAAGUACUAUACCUUUUAAGUUACAACUGUCGUAAAAAAAAUUGUAAUUGUAAAACAAAAAAUUAAUAGCUGUGAACUUAAUGAUUGCUUACUAAAGUUUAGGCAUUUAUUUAUUAGUUAAUUGUCUAAAAUUUACUUGUGAAUGUUAUUGACAAUACUUAUGUAUUGAUUAAAAAGAUGAAGUAAGGCAUUGAUCUUAGUAAUGGUGAUUUACCUUCAAUAGAAAUAUUUUAUACUAGAUUGACAUAUUUGUGUAUUUAUUUUAAUGUUAAAACUUUAAUUUCUCAUUUACACUGAUAAAAUUUAGAAAUGGGUAUUAUAUGUAGAUUGUUAAGCUCCUAUUAUAAAUUUAUAGUUUGACUUAUAUAAUUUAAUUUUUUUGUGUUUUUAAAAGUAUUGUUUCAAUAUUUGUGAAGUAAAAACCCAUUGCAGGUUACGCAAGGAUUUAGUAAUUGUUAAAACCUACAGAGGGUGAAUUUUUUUUUUUAAAUAAAAAACCAAUAGCGAGUUAAGAAUUUACUGAUUUAAUUAUCUUUUACAAGUGCAUGUUUGAUAAUGAUAAAAUCACUGCACUGAAAGAAAUUCUAUGAAAAAUAUAAUUCUUGUUCUGUAUUUUUAAUGAAAUUUUCAGAGUUAUUUAUACAAAAUAAAGACAAAGUAGCCCAUGAAAGCCUUAAUAAUAUUAAAGGAGAAUAAGUGAAUACUUCCUAAACUAUUGCACAAUAUCUUUAUAAAAUAGGAAUGAAAUAUUCCUACAUGAUAUUGACAUUCAAGUGCAAAAAUCGUGCCGGAGAUAUUCCUCGACAAAUAACUUUGAUGUGAGCAAGUCGUGUCACGUGUGGAGUGAUAAACCCGACUUGACCGUUAAUGACUUUCCUUUUGGUAAUCUUGGUCAGCUUGCUUAACAAGUGGUACGCAUAACCCAUCCAUACAGCUAGGCUAGCUAAACAGCAUAAAUAAAUGUAUAACGAUUCUUAUAUAAAAAGCCACCACCCCAAGCCAAAACAAAAAAAAACAAUUGUGCUGAAUACAACAAUAUAAUUUCUUCAGUUAUAUUUACUUGGAAACAAGAGAGAUGAAUACGAAGAAGCAGAAGCCAAAAGCUAUUGUAGUUGGAGGAAGCAUUGCUGGGGAAUCAUGCGCAAAAGCACUUGUUUCAGCAGGCUGGGAUGUUGUUGUGAUUGAGAAAACUCGUGGACCCCCAACCCAAAACCCAACCGGUGCUGGCCUUGGACUCGAUCCAUUGGCUCAGAAAAUUGUUCAGUCAUGGCUCCACGAACCUGAACUUCUUUACAACAACACUUUACCUGUCACCAUUACUGAGGUAUAUAAUAUAAUAUAUUUAAUUUCUUUUUUCCCAGUAGAAUCCAGUAGUGCUUUGAAUUAUACUGAUCUCUUCAAGAUAUUAGUUGCACACGUGUAUAUACAAUGGUGUAUGGUUAAGAUUUGAUAAAAGGAUAUUUUUCUCUGCACAAAAUACAAUUUAGAAUGGAAUCUGAUUGGGAAAAAAAUAUCUAUAUAUGUUGAAUAGAUAAAAUUUAAAUUUGUGUUUAAUUGCAGAACCUAGCAACAGAUGGGGAAAAGAAGAUCAGCUGGGUAAUAGGAAGAGAAGAAGGCACUAAGUAUCUGACAGCAUAUUGGGCUGAUCUUCAUGGCCUUAUAUACAAUACUCUGCCACCUGAAAUAUUUUUAUGGGGUCACCAGUACCUCUCUUUCUGUAUUUCUGAAGACAAAUUAACUGUCAAAGUUAGAGCUAAGGAUCUUGAGACAGAUGAAAUAAUCGAGAUAGUAGGAGAUUUGCUCGUCGGAGCAGAUGGGAUCCUCUCAUCAAUUCGUCCGAGCAUUCUACCUGACUUCAAAUUGAGGUUUGUGCUUGCUUGUGAGUAUCAAUAAAAGUAAUUAAUUUUUGAGUAUUUUGUUUCAUAAUUUUCAAUGUGUUUUUAAUAGGUACAC